rnacentral:lncRNA from 1 species
AAGUUUGAUGGACACGCUCACCCAUCUUAAAAUUGGUCGUUGUGAUGGUGUGGAGUCCUUCCCCAAUAAGGAUUGUGCGUUGCUGCCUCCCUCCCUUACCUCUCUAACGCUAUGCCAUAUGUCAAGUUUGCACACGUUGGACUGCACGGAGCUUCUCCACCUCACUUCCCUCCAACACUUAGCAAUUCUAUUUUGUUACAAGCUGGAGAAUAUGGCGGGAGAAAGGCUGCCUGCUACUCUAACAAUACUUCAAAUCAUUGGAUGUCCACUGCUGGAAGAACGGUGCCGCAUGAAACAUCCGCAAAUUUGGCCCAAAAUUUCCCACAUCCAAAGCAUUGUGUUUCACUGCACAUGAAUUUAGAAACUUCAACUUGGAUUUUCAAUGGUGAUUUCUCUACUUUGCCUUAAUUUUAAUGCGACUUCCCAAUUUCACUCAUAUUCUGCAUCUUUUGUAUCUACUUUAUUUAUCGUAAACAUCCGUCUCUUGUUCAUGUUGUUUGCCGUUUGUUGUAAGAGGUCGUAUAGGCCUAGAGUCAUAACAAAUAUUUUAUUUCAUAUUUUCAAGUAAAGAUUAUCUAAGCAAAUAUCUCAUUAUUUUUGUGGGCACGUGUCAAUGAUAUUAUAGUUAGUAGUAGGACAAGGAUGUUGUCUGAUCUUAAAUUUUUUUUUCUUUCUGUUCUACAGAUAUUGAAGUAGCUAACUCCCUUGUUGAUUGUGCUGAGAAUAUCAAUCGGGUUGCUUUUGGUUUGUACAACCAUGUGAGUUCUUUAACUUAUCUUCUAAUGCAAUAGAUAGUUAGUUUCACUGGAACACUUCUUCAUGGAUAAGACAACACUUUCACUAAAUUGAUUAUUUACAUCUUUUGGCGUCAAUAUUAUGAUGCUAAAAGACUUCCAUAGGAAAAUAUUUGCAUCAAAAUUUCAAACAUUUACGAAAAGGACUCCCAUUGUUAAUUCCUUUCAAACAGUUGACAUCUUCAAUUGCAAGACUUAUUACUGAAAAUUUUGUUGUCAUUAAACAAAUGGUACUUGACCUCUACUCCUUUUGUUGUCCUUUACGAAAUGCACAUUUUUUAUGCUCCUUUUGCCUGCAAAGUGCUAAAUAACCAAAUUGUCUCACAUAUAAAUGUGACACUGGUUCUGGAAAACCUUCACUGAAAUGCUGAAACUAUAUAGGCAAUAAUGAUUUAAGUGAAAUUCAUGAGCUGAAAAGCUGCCUUUUCCUUUUUAUAUACAUAACUUUUCCAAAGGACCUUAUUAGUUGUGAAAUAUUAAAAAGCUUUGAUUAGCCUGAUGGAAAAACAUUUUUCUCCAAAAACAAGCCUAGUGGAAACAUGCCAAAUGUGUUAAUGGAUAGAAUGUGUGCAAUGAUAAUUCUAAGUAGGAGAUUUUGUUUCUUUGUUAUGUCAACCUCGAACAAUGAUACUCUUUUUAUUUUAAAAGAUUUGAUAUUAGUAGAUCUUUACACUUAAGAUCUUUUUGCAGGUGUGCUUAAACAAAACAGACCAUGUCAUAAAGUUUAUUGAAGAGAAUUUCAAAAUCAAUUAUUUGGAAGAGAACAAUAUUAGUUUGUGGAGAUUGUAACUGGAGAGACGGCACCUCAGCCCUGUUAUUUGCGUGCUUCAUGUUCUGUUUCCAAGAAUAUGUGUGAUAAAGAAGUUAUAUUUAUGAUAUAUGUGGAAGUGGGAGUAUAUAAGAGUAUCUUAAGUUUUCUUAAGGUAUUGGGAACUUUACUAAAUAUUAUUGUUAUGAUUUGUUUAGUUUAGAAUUUGCAAUACAAAAAAUACUGAGAGGGAGAUGCUAUUUUGAGUUUAUUAUGUUUUAAACUUUAUAUAAUACUUCAGAAAAAUGUUAACUCAAAUCAAUGACUUUCGAAGUUCAAAUAAUAUUUGCUCAUAGAAAUGUUAUCUGACAUACUAUUCCAAAUAACACUCCUAGAUAUGCAUUAUCAUAAUGCUGUGUUUUUAUUUAUUUAUUCAGAAUGCAAUGUUUUUUUUUAUUAAACAUAAAUUACUCUAUAAACAAUUGGCAUUUAUUUAGAUAAUACCCUCAGAGUAGAAGCUAAGUGUGCAUAACCAACUGAAUGCCACACUAAUUGAAUACUUCUCUCUUCUUACCUGAUUGAAUAAAAUAAGCAUGAAAGUAAAUAUAUAUCUAUAUUAAUUUAAUAACUCGUUCAAUAGGAUAUAUGCAAAUGUGCUUGUGUUUGACUUGGUAGGAGUGUUUGGUAUAUCGUACUACUCCUAUCUAUUUUCAAACAACUAUAACGUGUAAGACUGAAAUUAAGUCACCAGUUCAUUAUAUAGGAUGAGAAGACGUUUUGCAAGUAUAAUUAUAAGUUUAAACAACAUCAUUUUCCUUGUGAUUCUUAGGAUCCAAAUUAGUGUAUUGAGUAUCAUGUUUGGUUUACUAGAAUUACGGGGUUUUACAAAAUUAUGUUUGACUUAAUAUAGUUAUAGUAAAAUCACUGCGGUCAAACAUGCAUCUUGACAAAUUUAUAUUCUCAUUAAUUAGCUUGAAACUAAUUAAAUAUUAAUGUUCUCCCUCAUGUCUCAUAUAUAAAUAUAUAUAUAUAUAUACAUAUCCGUAGUAACAUGCAUUUGGAAGAUCCUUUAGCUACUUUAUAACAACAUUGAGAGUCAAUAUAAAAAAAUAUGUAGUCGUGCUUCAUUAAAAAAUUAACUGUAUUAUUUAAAUUGUCUUUCUUGUUUGUCCUAUGAGAAUACAAAAGUUAUUUUUAGAAAAAUAAAAUUUAAAUUGAUGAAGUCAUACCGUAGAAAUAAUAUUAAAUGGGUAUAAUUAGUAUUAAUAUUUGCUAAGACAAUAUAAGCAGUUUUCACUACGCCAAAAAUGACAUUUUAUAGCACGUCUUUUACGACGCUAAUUAAAUACAAGCGCUGUUGUAGAAUUUUUAAAAAAUAACGGAGGAUACAACAUCGUUUUUUUUACAAGCGCUGUUGUAGGUUUUUAAAAAAUAAGUUAAUGAGGUCUUUUUACAGCGCUGUAAUAGGCUUUUAAAAAAUAAGUUAAGUCUUUUACAGCGCUCUUUGUUGAGACAAAAUCUUUCAAAUGAUUUUAAUGAUAACAAAAUUACUUAAGAGAUUAUGAUUGUGGUUAAUGACUAACAUGUGUUCUUGAGUGUAUUCAUAUAAGAUAAUAGGUUAUUAAUCAUUAAGGCAAAAAGAAGGAAAAUGUGAUUUUGGCCUGAGGAUGGAAAACCAACGUGAGGAUGGAAAUUGCUGCAAACGCGAGGAUGGAAAUUGCUGCAAUUUGGAAAAACUCCAGAUUUAGACAAUAUGAUCUCUCACCAAAACAAAUGUGUUUAUUCAAAUGCAUAACAAUGUCAAACAUGAAUAAACAAAGCAUUUAAAAUUAAGAGUCAAAAGGUCAAAAGAAAAAAGAUGAAUAAGGCUAGAUCUAGUUUGCAGAGGAUGGCAGAAUAGGUAGAGGAUAGGCCAACAAAAGUGAAAGCAACCUAUCAAGCAUGUGCAAAGGCUAAAAUCUGGACAUUUAUUGGGCUUGCACGUUUUGAUACAUGAAGAAGUCAAGUUAACAAAAGGCAACUUGAAACAAGCCAAAAAUGGAAGAUCACAUGUUGCUGCCAGAUCUGAUCCUCGGACUGAGUAUGACAGUCCUAUGUCAUAAAGUGGCUUUUUCUCUCUUGUCCACAUCACCUCAAAAGAUGAAGCCAACCUAGACCUUAAAGACUUCGAAAAAUGCAGCUCAGAAACAGNNNNNNNNNNNNNNNNNNNNNNNNNNNNNNNNNNNNNNNNNNNNNNNNNNNNNNNNNNNNNNNNNNNNNNNNNNNNNNNNNNNNNNNNNNNNNNNNNNNNNNNNNNNNNNNNNNNNNNNNNNNNNNNNNNNNNNNNNNNNNNNNNNNNNNNNNNNNNNNNNNNNNNNNNNNNNNNNNNNNNNNNNNNNNNNNNNNNNNNNNNNNNNNNNNNNNNNNNNNNNNNNNNNNNNNNNNNNNNNNNNNNNNNNNNNNNNNNNNNNNNNNNNNNNNNNNNNNNNNNNNNNNNNNNNNNNNNNNNNNNNNNNNNNNNNNNNNNNNNNNNNNNNNNNNNNNNNNNNNNNNNNNNNNNNNNNNNNNNNNNNNNNNNNNNNNNNNNNNNNNNNNNNNNNNNNNNNNNNNNNNNNNNNNNNNNNNNNNNNNNNNNNNNNNNNNNNNNNNNNNNNNNNNNNNNNNNNNNNNNNNNNNNNNNNNNNNNNNNNNNNNNNNNNNNNNNNNNNNNNNNNNNNNNNNNNNNNNNNNNNNNNNNNNNNNNNNNNNNNNNNNNNNNNNNNNNNNNNNNNNNNNNNNNNNNNNNNNNNNNNNNNNNNNNNNNNNNNNNNNNNNNNNNNNNNNNNNNNNNNNNNNNNNNNNNNNNNNNNNNNNNNNNNNNNNNNNNNNNNNNNNNNNNNNNNNNNNNNNNNNNNNNNNNNNNNNNNNNNNNNNNNNNNNNNNNNNNNNNNNNNNNNNNNNNNNNNNNNNNNNNNNNNNNNNNNNNNNNNNNNNNNNNNNNNNNNNNNNNNNNNNNNNNNNNNNNNNNNNNNGACCACCCUACUUUGAUGGUACAGAUUACUAUCAUUGGAAAGGUAAGAUGAGGCUAUUUCUCAUUUCACAAGACAACAACAUAUGGUCUGUGGUGGAAAAUGGAGAUCAUGUCAUCAGGACCAACAACGCAGAUGCAACCUCCCAUGAGAAACCUCAAGCACAAUGGACGGAUGAUGAAAAUGCAAAGGUACUCCUAAACUCUAAAGCUCAUUUAUUUCUAACGUGUGCUUUGUGCAGGGAAGAGUAUGACAGAGUUGAAGAAUGCAAAAACGCUAAAGAGCUAUGGGAUACUCUAAGAAUUCAUCAUGAAGGAUCAAGUCAUGUAAAAGAAGCAAGGAUAGAUAUGGGAGUAAGGGAUUUCGAAUUAUUCGAAAUGAAGGAGGAUGAAACUAUUGAUGAAAUGUUCUCAAGGUUAACCAUCAUAUUGAAUAACUUGAGAUCUCUUGGAAAGGUAUACUCCGUUCAAGAAAGGAUAAGAAAGAUUCUAAGAAGUUUACCAAAAGAAUGGAGGCCAAUGGUAACUGCCAUUACAGAAGCAAGAGAUUUGACCAACAUGAAAUUAGAAGAUUUGGUUGGAACUCUAAGAGCUCAUGAACCAUUGUUGUUGGCUGAUAACCCAAACAAAAAGGGAAGAAUGAUUGCUCUAAAAACCAACCAAACAGAAAGCUCAUCCUCCAAGAAAAAUGAAGAUGUCAUAACAAAGGAAAGCGCAGAGUAUCCUCUGUCGGAGGAUGAGGAUGACCUCGUUCUGAUUUCCAGAAAAAUCCAGAGGAUGUUAAACAGAAGAGGACAUAAUAGAUGACCUCCUCAAAAAGAAAAAAUUGACAAGAGUCAAAUAACUUGUUAUGGAUGCAACAAGAUGGGACACUAUAAAACUGAGUGUCCUCUCAACAAAAGGAACUCUAGAAAAUUCCCAUACAAAAACAAAUCCAUGAUGAUCACUUGGGAUGAUAGUGAUGAGUCAUCCUCGGAGCAAGAAAAGGAAGAAGAGGCCAACCUAUGUCUCAUGGCAAAAUCAGAAAAUGAAAAGGUAAGUAUUUCUGAUCUAUGUCCUAAUUGUGAAAAAUUAGAAAUUGAAUUUGAUAGCCUUUUAAAUGACUCAUACACUUUAUCUCAAAAAUGCAUGAUUCAAAAAAAUCAACUUGUUGAGAUAAAGAAACAAAAUGAGGAGCUACAGAAAAAUAAUGAUGAAUAUGUUAAAAUCAUUCAAGAUUUGCAGCAAUCUCACUUUCAAAAUUCUGAGAAACGAAAAAUUCUUGAAACGCAUCCUCCUGACGAGGAUACAAAAAAGGAAAUUUUGAAAACUGAGGUUAGGGAACUAAAAAAUGAUAUUACCAACUUUGUCAAAUCUACAGAAACAUUUCAAAAGAUAAUGGGGUCCCAAUCUGGUAUAUUUGACAAGGCUGGAAUUGGUUUUAAAAUCUCUCAAAAACAAAAAUUAUAUGAAAAUUUUUUCUUGCCUAAAAAACGAGAGGAUAUGCCUAAAUGCACCUUUUGCAAAAAACUUGGGCAUACUUCCAAAAUUUGUCAUGCUAAGAAGAAAGCUAACAAUGAAAAGGCAGCAUGCUCAUUCUGUGGUAAACAUGGGCACCAUGAUUCUAUUUGCCAUCAUAAAAGAAAUGUCCGAAAAACUAACCAACAAGGACCCAAAGCUAUAUGGGUACCUAAGUCUCUUUUAAACUCUAAAACAGGUUCAUCCUCUAAUCAACAAAAGAAAGCCUUGGUACUUGGACAGUGGUUGCUCAAGGCAUAUGACGGGAGAUAAGCACUGCUUCAUGUCAUUGGAGAUAAAGUAUGGAGGAUCAAUCACAUUUGGUAAUAAUGAUAAAGCUCAAAUAAAAGGAACAGGUAUUAUUGGUAAGAAUAAUUCUGCAAAAAUUGAAAAUGUUCAAUAUGUGGAUGGCUUAAAACAUAACUUGCUAAGCAUUAGUCAAUUAUGCGAUAGUGGUUUUGAAGUUAUUUUUAAGUCUACUCUAUGUGAGGUUAAGCACUCAUCUUCGGGUAGAGUUUUAUUCUCCGGUUUUAGAAAAAAGAAUUUAUAUGAACUUUAUCUUGAUGAUUUACCUUCUGAAUCUUGUUUUGUUUCCAUUGAAAAAGAUAAAUGGAUUUGGCACAAACGAGCGGGUCACACAAGCUUAAACACUAUUUCUAAAUUAGCAAAUUUAGAAUUAGUAAAAGGACUUCCAAAAAUCAAUUUUGAAAAAGACAAAGUUUGUGAAGCUUGUGUGAAAGGAAAACAAGUUAAAAGUAGUUUUCACUCUAAAAACUUUGUUUCAACAAAUCAUCCUCUUGAACUCAUUCACAUUGAUCUUUUUGGUCCUAUCAAAACUCCAAGUCUUAGUGGAAAAAGAUAUGGCUUUGUACUUGUUGAUGAUUUUUCUCGUUUUACUUGGGUUCUAUUUUUAAAACACAAAGAUGAAGCCUUUGAGGCAUUUCACCAUUUUUGCAAAAAGAUUUAAAAUGAAAAAGGAUAAAAAAUUGUCUCGGAGAGAAGUGACCACAGAGGUGAAUUUGAAAAUGAAUCUUUUAAAAAUCUUUGGGUGUUAUUGCUACAUUCUAAAUAAUAAAGAAAAUUUGGGAAAGUUUGAUCCAAAAUCUGAUAAAGGAAUUUUUCUAGGAUACUCCACAACGUCAAAAGGUUAUAGAAUAUAUAAUCUUAGGACUCAAACUGUGCAGGAAUCCAUGCAUGUUAUUUUUGAUGAGUUUGAUGACUUGUGUUUAGAGAAAAUGGAUAAGGAUGAAGAAGAUGAAAAAUCAUCCUCUCAAGUACCCGGUCCUCACGCAGAGGAUGAGUCUGAUCCAACCUCUCAACAACUUCCAAGAGGAUGGAAAACAGUCACGCAUCAUCCUCUAGAUCUAGUCAUUGGGAAUACUGAAGAUGGUGUGAGAACCAGAAACUCUCUAAGGGAAAAUACUUCCAACAUGGCCAUGAUAUCACAAGUUGAACCCAAGACAAUUGAUCAAGCUAUUGGUGACAAAUCAUGGGUUGAAGCUAUGAUGGAAGAACUCUCACAAUUUGAAAGAAACAAGGUAUGGAAUCUUGUACCCCAUCCUCUGGACAAAUCUGUUAUUGGAACUAAAUGGAUAUUUAGAAACAAACUAAAUGAGGAUGGAGAAGUCAUUAGAAAUAAAGCAAGACUAGUGGCACAAGGGUACAACCAACAAGAAGGAAUAGAUUAUGAUGAAACGUUUGCACCUGUAGCAAGACUUGAAGCAAUAAGAAUCCUCUUAGGUUAUGCUACUCAUAAAGGUAUAAAACUAUUUUAAAUGGAUGUGAAAAGUGCCUUUUUGAAUGGAUUCUUAAAUGAAGAAGUGUAUGUCCGUCAACCUCCUGGGUUUGAAGAUGAGAAGCGGCCAAACCAUGUGUUCAAACUCUCUAAAGCUCUUUAUGGUUUAAAGCAAGCUCCUAGAGCUUGGUAUGAGAGGUUAAGUUCUUUUCUAAAAGAAAAUGGAUUCAUUAUAGGACAGAUUGAUACUACUCUUUUCAAGAAAACACUUGAAAAGGAUUUAUUGAUUGUUCAAAUAUAUGUCGAUGACAUUAUAUUUGGAUCCACAAAUGAAAAAAUGUGUAAAGAAUUCUCAAAUCUCAUGCAAAGUGAGUUUGAGAUGAGUAUGAUGGGGGAAUUGAAAUUCUUCCUUGGUUUACAAAUCAAACAACGAGAGGAUGAUAUUUUUAUCUCACAAGAAAAAUACACCAAGGAUUUGCUCAAAAAAUACAACAUGAGUUCAGCCAAGAGUAUGGGAACUCUGAUGCACCCAUCCUCCACACUCCACAAAGAUGAUGAAGAAACCCCAAUUUCUGAAAAAGAAUACAGAGGGAUGAUAGGAUCCUUGUUAUAUUUAACAGCAAGCAGACCGGACAUAGUCUUUGCAGUCGGUCUUUGUGCAAGAUUCCAAUCCUCUCCUAAAGAAUCUCAUCUCACAGCUGUAAAAAGGACUUUUAGAUACCUUGUUGGCACUAUAAAUCUGGGAAUUUGGUACAAGAAAUGUUCCAAUCUUGACCUUAUAGCUUAUUGUGAUGCCGACUACGCGGGAGACAAAGUUGAAAGAAAAAGCACAAGUGGUGCUUGCCAAUUUCUUGGUAAAUCCCUAAUAAGUUGGUCAUGCAAAAAAUAAAGUACCAUUGCUCUUUCAACUACUGAAGCAGAGUAUGUAUCAGCCGCUCAAUGUUGCUCACAACUGCUCUGGAUAAAAAAUCAGCUUGAGGAUUACUCGCUAAGGUACGCAAAAAUUCCCAUCCUCUGUGAUAAUACAAGUGCAAUAAAUCUUUCUAAAAAUCCCAUUCAACAUUCUAGAUCUAAGCACAUUGAAAUUAAACAUCAUUUUAUAAGAGAUCAUGUGCAAAAAGGGGAUUUAGAACUGAUUUUUAUCGACACUGAAAAUCAAUUAGCAGAUAUCUUUAUCAAACCUCUCCAAGAGGAUAGGUUCAAAAAGAUCUUGGAUGAACUUUCAAUUCUUAAUUUGUCUAAAAUUAAUUGAUUUAUCUUGGUCAUAUUAUUAUAUUUUUUAUAAAAUUUUUAUUUUUAUAAAAUUUUUAUAUUUUUAUCUGUUGUUUUUUUUUAAAAAAAAAAUAAAAAAUAAGUUUUUACAAUUUUAAUUAGGCAUGUGAGGAUAGGAAACCCACCAGAAAACAGAAUGUCCUUAUUGGUAUAACUUCACGUGACAUGUCAACUUAGGAAGAGAGCACGCGCCCUUCUCUCUCAUUGGGCAGUACGAGUGGCACAUGCCUCCGUACUUCACGCCAGACAUUUAAUGCAAAACGGCUACAUGUCUAAUCCAUCAUCACGCUAGUUCUCUAGGCUACGACGCAUUAAAUUUUUCUGUCCCCUUCACGUUUCCUCACAUUCCCUCACGGUCUCUCACACGUUUCCUCACACGUUCUCCUUGUUCAUCUCCCAUCCUCGUCUAUUUGUUUCCCAUCCUCUAUCAUUUUCACUCAUCAACCUUUUGCCCAGAAAACCUUUCAUCACUCAACAGUUUCUUCCCUCACCUUCUUGUAUCAAUGGCUCGAAUCAAAAUGACUGUAAAGCGCAAAAAAUCUUGCCAAGAACCAGAGAAAAACCAAGACGUCUACUCAAGCACUGAGUCAGAUUAUAAUGAAGAAAACCAAUCUGAAGAAACUUCCAUGAACACCAUUUCUUCAUCUCAACCAUCCAAAAGCUCUUCUCCUUCUAUUACUCCAAAAAUCGUCAAAAAAUCCUCCUCCUCAACUCCUUCCAGGCGCUCCUCCAGAAUCAUUUCUGGAGCCGUUUCAACCAAUAAGGCACCUCCUCAGGACAAUACGAUUCAUGUCAUCAACUCUGAUGAUUCAGAGACCACUCCUCCUGUUGAACCAGCACAACAACCUCCUCCUGCAAAAUCAAAUUCUGAAACUUCAACUCCCAAAAAGGCCAAACCGUCUUCACCAAAACCCCCUUCAUCAUCCACAAAAAUUUCUGAAAAUGCUUCACUGUUUGAUUCAACCGAAUUAGAAACUGUCUACACUUCCAAAUGGCAAAACAAGUCAGUGGUAAAUGGAAAAAUCAUUGACCUUGCUGAUAUCAAACAAGGAGGGUUCAAUGUUGAAGAAAUGUUUGAACAACUCGGUUGGACCUCAUUUUUCAAAAUAAAUGAACCAUAGCACCCGCGUCUUGUAAGGGCUUUCUAUGCCGCUUCAAGAGGAUCAAAAGGCUUGACUAAUUUCAGUAUGGUACUAAAAGGGGUUCAUAUGGAAAUUAAUCCCACCACACUAUGUCAAAUACUAGAUAUACGUGAUGAAGGAGCUCACUGCUUCUCUGAGACAUGGUACUCACAAUGUCUCAUCACUAGGACCUCUGUGCUCCAAAACGCACUCAUCAAACCUCCAAAACCAUUGGUGGCCUCCAACCUCGUCCCCUUGUGUCGAAUCCUCCACAAUAUCUGUGUCCACUCCAUCACUCCCCGGGUUGGCAGUUUUGAGAAAGUCACAGAUCUGGAUCUCAUGAUUAUUCAUCAUGUGAUCACUGGUACUCCUCUUCAUUUGGGCCAUGCUAUUUUUACCUUCAUGCUGAAUGCUGUUGUAUUGGGACGAUCUGCUCCCUAUGGGAUGAUUUUGACAAAAAUCUUCAAAUUUUUCAGAAUCCCACUUGAGGAUGAACAUUCCAUCCACCUCAACAACACUUUUUCUAUGAAGAACAUUAAACAGAUGAAGAUUCAAAAUGAUGACCGUCCUGCCUCAAAGAAAAGAAAAACUCGUCCUUCCUCCUCUGUUUCUCCAAACUCUAAAGGUGAAACCACUCAUCCUCCACCUGAGGAUACACCAUCACCACUUAUUCCAGAACCAACCUCUCCACUGCGUAACUCUCCUGAUACUACUCCUUCUCCUGCCUCUCAUGUCCCCACAACAACUCAGUCUACACCAAUCCACAAACUGACUCCCCUUCGUGAAGCCGAUCCUAUUCCUGAGGAUGCCUCAAAGUCAACUUUUCCUCAACAUAUGGAAGAUGGUGAGGAGUUAUACUUUGAUCUGAAUUUAUCUUAUCCUCCAUCUCCUACGGAUGUGCCUAUGGCUUCUCCUCCCAUUGUGCCAGCGGAUGAAGAUGUGCUACCACCACCAGAUUUUUCGCAACAAAUUCCUCCUACUGCAAACUUUGAAAAAACAGCUCAACCUCUUCCUGAGGUUACAGGUGUGUUCAGUUCCCUUGACUCCUUCUUUACUGCCACUACUCAUAACCAGUCAAAGGACAAGGCUGGGAGCUCUCAUAAUAAGAGUUUCAGUGUAAAUGAUCAGCCUAAAGGCUCGGUUCCUAGCACAAGGAUUGGGGAUAACAAGAAGCAGAUGAAACUCCUCAAAUUAAUUAGGAAAGACCAGAAGAAAAUUCUUCAGCGCUUCACUCACUUUCAGAACUCUUUGGUUCAAUUUGGGCUCAUUCUUGAAUGGGUUACCAAACACUUGGUUCCUACUAUUGCUCCUGGAGAUCAUCCUCCUGAGCUACCAACCCAGCCAACCUCUGAUGUUCCAUCUCCUUCAUCUUCAUCAGAUGAACCAGCCUCCUCAGAUUAAAUCUGUUGUUAUUUCUUUUUGCUGCUGCCAAAUUCAGGGGAGAAUGAUUAUGUUUUUAUGAUUAUGUUGUCUGUUUAGUGAUUAUGCUUUUUGGUAUCUAGUUGCUUUGGGUUCAUGCUGUUAAAACUGUUUAAUUAUUGUUUUGUUAAGUUGAUUAGUUAUGUUGCUUAUGAACCCAUGACUAUGCUUUGCUGAACAAAUCUUUAAAUGAUUAUCUAAAUUAUCAUGAUGUCAUUUGUAUGGUUAAAAUUAUGUUAUUUCAACACUUUGGCAUACAUUUAGGGGGAGUAAUGAUUUUUAGUUUUAAAAAUUAUUACACAUAUAUUUGAGGGGGAGCAUAAACAUUUUAUCUUUGUCUUAUUUAAAAUCAUAAUCUAAAGAAUUUUGUCAUCAUCAAAAAGGAGGAGAUUAUUGAGACAAAAUCUCUCAAAUGAUUUUAAUGAUAACAAAAUUACUUAAGAGAUUAUGAUUGUGGUUAAUGACUAACAUGUACUCUUGAGUGUAUUCAUAUAAAAUAAUAGGUUAUUAAUCAUUAAGGCAAAAAGAAGGAAAAUGUGAUUUUGGCUUGAGGAUGGAAAACCCACGUAAGGAUGGAAAUUGCUGCAAACGCGAGGAUGGAAAUUGCUGCAAUUUGGAAAAACUCCAGAUUUGGACAAUAUGAUCUCUCACUAAAACAAAUGUGUUUAUUCAAAUGCAUAACAAUGUCAAACAUGAAUAAACAAAGCAUUUAAAAUUAAGAGUCAAAAGGUCAAAAGAAAAAAGAUGAAUAAGGCUAGAUCUAGUUUGCAGAGGAUGGCAGAAUAGGCAGAGGAUAGGCCAGCAAAAGUGAAAGCAACCUAUCAAGCAUGUGCAAAGGCUAAAAUCUGGACAUUUAUUGGGCUUGCACGUUUUAAUACAUGAAGAAGUCAAGUUAACAAAAGGCAACUUGAAACAAGCUAAAAAUGGAAGAUCACAUGUUGCUGCCAGAUCUGAUCCUCGGACUGAGUAUGACAGUUCUAUGUCAUAGGGUGGUUUUUUCUCUCUUGUCAACAUCACCUCAAAAGGUGAAACCAACCUAGACCUUAAAGUCUUCGAAAAAUGCAGCUCAGAAACAGUCUUGCACUCUGAUUAAAGAGAAAAAGCAAGGACAUGUCAAGAUCAAAGCUAUGCUGCGUGAGGAUGGGUUCUGCCUAGCCUAACAAGAUGAGUGGCAGUUCUGUAAUUAUGAUGAAAACCUUUGAUCUUUUGAAAAUGAGCUCCAACGGUCAUCAAGGGCUUGGAUCUCUAUAAAAUGCAAACAAGCUCUCCAUUGGAAGACACACAACACACUUGCAUAAAAAGAUCAAGCAUCUUAAAGCUUUCAAGAAGCAAAUCACAUCCUCUCUUAUUACUUUCCUUGAUCCUACACUAUAUCUUUGUAUAUCCUUUGAGAAAGUAUUAAGUAUCAAUCACUCUCAUUCUACUUUGUAAUUUCCUAGUGAGUGAAGCUUGGAAAUAUUUGAAAAUUGAUUGUAAGCUUGGUGAAGCUUGAGAAUACACGGUUUGUAAUCAUCCUCGGGUUGAGGAUCGAUCUGUUUGAAAGUUAGUGAAAUCUCACAAGGGUGUGAGGACUGGAUGUAGCCAUCUUUGAGUGAACCAGUAUAAAAUUGUGUGUGUGUCCCUCAUAUUCUGAUCCUACUCUUUUGCUCAACUUACAUCUAACGAUUUGAAAAAUCUCAUCCUCGAGCUAGUCAUCCUCAGCGAGAGGAUAGUUUUUAAAACACUUAGAAUUUAUUUUUAACAGCUAAAUCCCUAUUCAACCCCCCCUUCUAGUGAUAUUUAGCUACAUCACUCUUUAGCGCUCUUUCAAAUAGCACUAUUAGUAAUAGGCUUUUAAAAAAUAAGUUAAGGAGGCCUUUUACAGCACUCUUUGAAAGAUCGCUGUAAUAGGCUUUUAAAAAAUAAGUUAAGGAGACUUUUUACAGCGCUCUUUCAAAGAGCGCUGUAGUAGGCUUUUAAAAAAUAAGUUAAAGAGAUCUUUUACAGCGCUCUUUCAAAGAGCGUUGUAAUAGGCUUUUAAAAAAUAAGUUAAGGAGACCUUUUACAGCGCUCUUUCAAAGAACGUUGUAAUAGGCUUUUAAAAAAUAAGUUAAGGAAGUCUUUUACAGCACUCUUUCAAAGAGCGCUGUAAUAAGCUAUUAAAAAUUAACUUAUAUUUAAAAAAUAAUAAUUACAUUAAAAUGAAUACAUUUUUCACAUGUUUUAAAUUUUAUUUAUCAUAUAUACAUUAACAACGUAAUUUCUAUUUAAUUUUUUUUUACAACUCUACUAUAGCAAUUUAAAAUAUGAACGUUUUAUGUCUUUUGAAAAUAAUCUUAACGCAUUUUAUAUAUAUAUAAUAUUACAUAUUUCAUAAUUAGAUCAAUAUUAUGAACUUGUUUUCUUUUAAAUAAGUAUUAUUUGGUUUCGAAAAAAUUUUACAAUUUCUUAAGAAAAUAACAUUUUACUAACAUAAUAAACCAUAACAAAAUAAAUAACUAUAAUAAAAAAAUAACAUUUUAAUUUGAGUAAAAUAUUAUCCCUAAACCCUAAACUGCUUCAGUUUUCUCUUCGUUACGUAAACUUCAUACGCUUGUUUUUUUGUUUAUAUUCGAGACCAGAGAUAAUAUUAUAAAACUUAUUUCUUCUAUAACAAAAUUUAAAUAAAAUAAUCACUUAGACAAUUAUUAUGAUAAUUCGUUAUUCAUAUUUAUUCUUGUUAAUCACAUUUAAAAAUUUAAUUUUAUCAUCUAAAGUACCACUCAUUUAUUUUAUCACAUUAAAAAACUUUGCAUUUAAUGUAGACAAAAAUAACAUUAAAUAAAUGGCAUUUUUAGUAUAUUAUCAUUAAAAUUGGAUGAAAAUUUGAAAAUGAUCAAUUUAUGGUUAUGAUUUCAAAAUUUGUUUGAUAGUAGCAUUAUGUAGACAUGGGAUAUGUUGUCCCUUCGGGAAUAAUAGAUAAACAUAAUCCAUUGCACAAAGACGACACACACAAAUCGAGAUAUGGUUAAAAUUUGUCCAAGUGACACAAGUUCAGUGAUAUAAGUUUUAACAUCGAACAUCAAGGAAAUAAUGUUCAAAUUUCAUCAGAUAUCGUUGUAAAAUAGUCAUUAAUACUAUUUUAUUUAUUAAUAAUUUUCUUUUUCUUAGUUUUUUUAUAAAUAAAUACCAAUAUAUAGGAACAAUCUUAAGAUUCAUAUAUGAUUUAAGAGUGAAUUUAGAAUUUUUAAAUUUUAAUUAGUGUUAAAAAAUUUUAAAUUUAAUAAAAUAUAUCAUAAAAUUUAUUAUCUAAACUAAUAGUUAAUUUAUAUUGAAAAACUUGAAUUACUAAAAAAAAAACAUUUUCUCACGUCCAAACACAUUUAUAAAGAAUCCGCAUAGAUUAAUGAGUUUGGUUUGAUUUUAUCUGAUGGCCGUGAAAUUAAACAACAAUUAAUUACUCUUUUUGUCUCUAAAUAUAAGAAUUAUUUUAUGAAAUUCAGAAAAUUGAUAAUAGCAACAUUUGGUAUUUUUUUAUAAGUUUAUCAUUAUUUGUUUAACGUAAAAUAAAUUUAUCAUUCAUAAGACAAAACUAAUUUAUAUUUUAAUAUAAUACUAUAUAGAAAAAGAUAAUAAAUGGUCUUAUUAAAGAGUAAUUUAAAAUAUUUAUAUUAAAUUUAACUUAUUCUUACAAGCUAAUUUAUAAAGUAAAAGAUAUCACAUUUUAUAAACUUUUAAAGUUCUAUGAUAAAAUACAUCGUGUAGUCGAUUAAGUUAUAUAUACAAAAAUAUUAUAUUGGUCUUUUAACAUUUUUUUUAAUAAAUUAGUCAUUUGUGUUUGUAAACAUUAUAAUAUUAAACUAUUUUUAGUUCUUAACCUCAUUUUAAUAAUUUUAAUAAGCUUUUAUUUGAUUUUAUGAUAUGAAUUAUGAGAAUUUUGCAUUUAAGUUUGAUAACUUAAGUAUAUAUCUCACUUGAAUUCUCUCUUAAUUGUUUAAUUAUUUUUUAAAAAGGUGAUUGAUUGUUUAUGUACUUAAGAUUAUAUCAAAAUCUGUUAGAAUUACAUAAAUUUAUUAAAAAUAUUACAAAAAUUAUAAAUUUCAAUUUUGUUGGUUUGAAAUUAAAACAACAUUUAUAAACAUAAAAGACAAACUUAGUUAAAAGAUUAAUUUAUUAAAAAAAAUAUAAAAAAUUAAUAUAUAAUAUUCUUGUAAGUUAAAAUACCUCGUGAUAUAUAUAUAUAUAUAUAUUUAAAUAAGUAAUUGUGUAAUUGAGAAGAGAAAGUGUUUACCCAAGCAAGUACUAUUAGAACGGCAUUUUCUUAUUGGGGAUCCAAUACGAACUUGAACUUCUCCUCACUAACAUCAACAGAUUGAAAUAUAGUGUACAAAAUGUCUCUUUAACGCAAUGAUAUCUCUUUCCGAAAACUGAUAUUAUGCGUAAAAAGAAACUUUCAUUGAACAAAAACAACCAAAAUUUAAUUAGUAAGAAAAUUAAGAAGUAACCAUAAAUAGCAAGUCAAAGCCACAAAGCACCAGCAUCUUUUAAUAUAGGAACCAAUUCACCUGAAAUAUGAGUACCCAUCACUCUUUCNNNNNNNNNNNNNNNNNNNNNNNNNNCUGAACCUUUUCGGAGGUUGUGGCGGAAGCGUGAUUUGACAACUGGGCAACAACGGCAGCUUCAUGGUCUUGGUCGAACUCGUAGACAGGAGGGUUGACUCCGAGACCUUGUAACAACCUUUUGACAACGUGGCAGAGACAACAGCCACGUGUACCAAUAAUUAUAACCGCGUUAUCUGAAACCAUUUUGAUUAUGUUGGAUUCGCGAUUCCCUACGGUGAUUGGAAGGUCACGUGUGACCGUAGAGAGAUUUGUUCUAUAAGGUAUUGCUUGGUGCAUGGUGUUCAGAGAGAGAGAGAGAGAGGGUAAUGAUGGAAAUAUAAAAAGUUAGGGGCGACGACUCUAACGUCAAUGGCUGUUAUGCUCUUACGUCACCAGCUACUGUGGAUGACGAUAUGUUACGUCACCGACUUGGUCAACAUUAGGGGUGGACAUCGGGCGGGUAUGGGUGGGUUCGGGCCUAAAAUGUAAAACCGGCCCAAUCCAUGGGUUUGAUGUUUUGGCCCAAUUUCGUCUAUAUUUUAAAUCGGGUACGUCGGGUUCGGAUAGAUCGGGUGUCGGUUACGUAUGGGCGGAUAAAAAUGGGUUGGAUUUUAUUGGACUUUUUUUGCUUUUUUUUCAUUCUAAAUUAUUCAGUUUUUUUUCUUUUAUUUAAGAAAAAAAAUCUGCUCUUUUAUAAUUUAUUGGCCCAAUCUGCUACCUAACUUAUUUUUAAUUGGGCUGAGUUGUUGGACUUGGUUCUGUUGUUGGGCUGGACUGCUUUUAAAAAACAUUUGUCUUGUGGCUGGGUUUUUUUUAAUAAAUUGGCCUUUUUUUUUAAUUUUUGGCAAGUGACUUUUUGUGUAUUUUAAAUUUAUAUAUUAAUAUAUAAUAUAAAAUUAAUAAUAUUAAUAUAUAAUAUAAAAAUAAUAAUAUAAAUCGGUCGGGUUCGGGUAUCGGCGGAUCCAAAUUACUCAUCCGAACCCGACCGUAUAAACCCAUAUGAACCCUUAUUUUUCACCCGCUUAACCCAUCAACCCGAAGAAACCCGUCCGCAAAUUUAAAUUUUAUAUUGGGUCGGUCGGAUUCGGGCGGGUCCGAUAAUUAUGUCCACCCCUAGUCAACAUAUACCCAUCUUCAUAUGCUCUAGUGUUACAUGCUUUUUGUAAUUAUCAUUUUUUAUGAAUUUAGUUUUAUUUUUUAUUUUUUUAUAAACGAAAUGCUAAAUACAACUAAAAAUCUUCUACUUAACAAUGUUAGUAUGUAUUAAUUAAUUAUAAUUUAAAAGACUAAUGAAUGUAAUCAUUAUUUUUAUAAAAUGAAACAGAAUAAUGUUUUUUACACAAGUAUAUAAAAAUUACCAUUAAAAAGUAUAUAAAAAAUAUGAUCCACAAAAUAAUUGAUACUAGCGGUAGAAAUCAUCCACAACAAAAUGAUCAAAGGAAUAAAAUCUAAGAUUCCUGAAAAAAAUUAUCGAUAAAUUGUGUCUCUGCAACAUCUUUUAAUAAUCUUACAAGUAUUUAUAUGGAUGGUUUUUUUAGAAAAUGACUAAUAGAUGAUUAAUAAAUUCAAAAUAAAGCAAUACAAACAUGUUCAUAGACACAAGCCAAAGUGAGAGGUGGAAAUUCACGGUUCACGACUAGUGUAUUGAACUCCUUUCGAUUUUAAUUACAGGGCAUUGCAAUAUGUUAUGAAAUCAUGCCUCACAAAAUUCAUGAAGUAUUAUGUGUUGUUUCUUUAAAUUAAAGAGAGGUGGUGUUCGUGACAGUUUACUACAUUUUCUUUAAUUAUAAAUAAAAAAAAUGUAUGUAUUUAUUGGCCUAAAUAAGGGCAGAGUUAGGAAAACAACUCAAGGGAACCAAUAAUAGAAAUGUAUGACUUAAUAAAAUAAAUUCGAAUUUUUCUGUUCAUAACAUAUGCAAAAUAUAUAAAAUUUUGUCACAUAAAUUGACAUUUGAAUGAACAAAAAUAUAAACAUUAUAGAAAUUGACAAAAACAAAGUUAGGAGAAAUUGAAAAUUUCUUCAAUAAAUUAAGUAGUAUUUAUAACAAUAUUUUUUGAACUUUUCUUUAUCCAAAAAAAAAAUUAAGGAGCAGUAAUAUACAUAUAACUUAUACACUUCUAUUGGUUUCAAUUUUUUACCCCAACUUAACAAUAUUUUUUCAAUUAAUAUGUCAUUGUUUUAAAUAUUGUUUAAUUGGCCUUUUAUAGAUGAUGCAAGUUAUUGCAAUAACAUGCCUAUUAAUUAGGAUGUAGUGUGGCAAAAAUAAAAAUGAAAAGGUAGAAUUUACAUUGAUUAAUAUGAUUAAAAUAUUAGGGGUGGCCAUGGCACCUGAGGGUCACCCGUCUCUACGCCCUGCCUCAAAUUAUUAGUAAACAUUAAUUAAUUUAUUUACUCUUAAUCCUCACAUGUAUGCAUGAAGAUUGGGAGUGUGAGGAUAUCGAGCAAUCAUAUUCGACCGUUUUCAUUUUUAUCGUUUAUGCAAUAUCUGUUUUUUUUUUUUUCUUUCUAUUUUUCUCUUCUCAUUAAAUAAAAUGUUAAAAAAGGGAUGUAGAGAAUGUUUAUAGUAAAUUCCCUAAAUUUUGAUAAGAUGCAAAUUUUAAUUUUAAUGCAGCCUAAGAUCUAAAUCACUUAGUAGUGUGUGGGUUUAAUUAUAUUCACAUCUAGGUAAAAUAUAAUUGAGUUGACUCAAAGAAUAAAUUAAAAUAAACAAUGUUACAUUAUCGAAAUUAUGUAAAAGGAGAUGUGAUAUUAAUUUAGUGGUUAGAAUGGGAAAAAAUAAAGAGUAAAGUGAGAGAUUAUAUUCACUAUAUAACAUUGAUAUACAUUUGUCACUACUGGAAAAGCAUAGUUAUGUAAGAAGACAAGAAAAAAUAUAUAACUAAUAAUAAAUAUUUCUCUAAUAUAUCACAUAUUUCUCAACUUGGUUAUAAGAAAAUAAUAAUAAUAAUAAUAAUAAUAAUAAUAAUAAUAAUAAUAAUAAUAAUAAUAAUAAUAAUAAUAAUAAUAAUACUUAUUAUUAUUAUUAUUAUAAUAUCUCAUGUGAUUCUUUAAUUUGAUUUUAAAUAAUAAUUUAGUUUUUUUUCUUCUAAGUUGAUCUUUUAUUUAAUUUUAAAUAAUAAUUUAAUCUUUUAUGUCUUAAAAUAUCAACAAUGUUAUCAUUUUUUUUCUAUAAAUUCAUAAAACUUAUCAUCAUUUUCAAAUAAAAUUCAGAAAAUUCAUUAUCAAUUUUAAAAAAAUUCAUAUAUUCAUCGAAUUCAUAACUCAAAUCUUCAGAUAAAUUCAUAUUUUCAUCUUCAACAACAACAUUAAAUCUAUCAAAUAAAGAAGUCACACUUUAAGAUUUGAUCUUCAAAUCAUCAAAAUAAUAUCUUUUUUUUUUCUUUCUAUUUUUCUCCAAAUCACUAAAACAAUAUCUUUUUCUUUUUCUAUCUAUUUUUUUUUUCCAAAUCACCAAAACGAUAUCUUCUUUUUUUCUUUCUAUUUUUCUCCAAAUCAAAUUAAUAACUUAAAUAUUAAAAUAUGAAUUAUUUAUUUGAGUGUUAAUUCUGUGUUGGAGUACUAAUUCCUCCAUGUUUUUCCUAUUUUCAUUGCUAUUUGUUUAUUUCUAUUGUCCUUAUGACCUAGAAGUUUUUUGCUUGCUAUUCCACCACCCCUCGUUGGAACUCCAACAUCCAACACCAUCACUAUAUAUGAACCACCACUCAUAACCAUGGCUAAUUUGGUGCCCUUACCCCCACCACCUCCAACAGAUCUGAUAUUAGCUCAUCCUCCAUCACAUCUUCAAAAGUGUUGAAAAUUUUGGAACACUAUAUAUAUUAUCUUCAAAGGUAAAGGUGACUAUCACUAUUAUUAACUCCUCCUCAUCAAUCAAAUCACUAUCAAAUUUAUGAUUAAUUAAGACAAAUUUGAGACCAUGUUUAGUCCUUUAGAGCUUGAAGAAGAAGAAAAAAUAAUUAGUAAAAUGAUAGAGAUAAAUAUUUUAGUCUUAAUUUAAAACUAUUGACUUGUCUUUGACCAUGUUUGAAAAAUUUUGUAUAGUAAAAUUAUAGGAUGUAAAUUAAUCUUAAUUGGAUAUUGCCUAUUUGCUUUUUUUAUCUUCGUAAUGUUUUACUGUAAAAAAAAAAAAGAAUAUAUAUAUAUAUAUACUUAUUCAUUAUUUUAUCUAUCUCUAUUAAAUAUGAAUUGAACAGGCCGUCAGUUAUCUCACGUGAUAACCAUAACAUGUCAAAAUUUGCUUUUGCAAUUUUGGGGAAAAAGACAACUAUAUAAAUGAAUAUUUUGCCAUAUCACAUGGACAAUCAUAUAUAUAAGGGGAAAAACAAAAUAGUUAAACUCAAACGGUUAUUCAACUUUUAUUGAAAUCGAAUUGAUAAGAAUACUUGAGUUUAAUUUCUAAUUGAGUUAAUCGUUAAUUAAACUUUACACACCAUUUUACUCAAAUUAGCAACCUUUCUCUUAGUCUUGUGUAUCGGAAGAUUAAAAAAAAAAAUGUGUACAAAGAGCUUUUUUUUUUGUCCAAAAUUUGUACAUGGAGCUUAGCAUUAUUUCAAUUUUUCUUUGCAUACAAAUUCUGACUUCCACCACAUACCACGUUUUACAUGCGUCAUUCAAUUGAAGGUUGAUGACGUACUAUCCACUAAUGAAAGUUCCUAGAAAUUAUUAACACUUUUUGCUUUACUCAAUUAUUAACACAUGCUCAACAAAUAGUUUCUUCCAUAUCUUCAUUUAUAUAAAAGCAGAGUAAGUUUGGUGGUUAGAAUAUAUAAGAGAUAGAUUUCAUAUUACUGAAUAUAUUUAUCGUAUUAUAUAUUUGAUAUUCACAUAAUAAUAACAAUAAUAAUAAUAAUAAUCAUAAUAAAUGGAAUAAUUUUUUUUUUGUAUUUAUCUUAUUGUGACAUGAUAGAAUUUUGAUCAUAUUAAAAUGAAAAAUUAUUCUUGUAAGAUAAUUAUAUAUAUUAUUUCCAAAUUAAUUUAUAACACUUUUAAGUUUAAUAAGUUAAAAAUAAUUACAUAAAUAAAUAAGAAACAAAAUAAUUUAUAUUUCAAAUAAAUUCAUUGACACGGCUAAAUAAACAAUAUCAAAAUUUUAAAAAAUAAAUAAUAAAUAAUUAGAUAUUUUUAUUUAUAUGUUAGAUAAAUUUAUAAAUAUAUUAUAUAUGAGUGAGUUUUUUUUAUAAACCACCUUUAUAAAUGAUCCAUUAUAGAUUGAUACAUAAAAAUCAUCAAAAAUUAUAAUGAUAUUUAAUAAUAUUUUAAAAAAAUAAUAGCUUGUGAUUUUUAUUGUCUUUAUAAUUAAGACAGUGAGUAAGUGAGUAAUAUGAUUGUUGUCAAUUUAAUACAAAAUACAUAUUUAUUAUUUAUGUUUUUAUAAAACUAAUAUGAAAAACUUCCAUAAUAAAAUUAAUAAAUUCAUGAUUAGUCAAUAUUAAAAUAAAAAGUCGCGUCUUAUCCGGGUCCAAAGUUUCUUGUAAGAUUGUUCAAUUAUUUUGAACUUAUUACUUUAUAUAAGUUGGGUGUUCUGCAAAUUAUUGUUAGGUCUAAGGUAUCAACCUAGCAGAUAUUCUUUUUCUUCUAUAACGAUAUGCUUUUGCGUGAUUUUAGAUAUCUAAAAUAAGUAUAGUUAAUGUAAAUUUGUUACAUGUGCAUCAAAUAAUUAAUACUAGUAUCUCAUUAUAUAGAUAUUUAUAAAAUUAUUUUAUGUACUAGCUAGAUAAUAAAGUGAUAUUACUUGAACUUAUUGAAGGCAUGCAUAAGAAAAAUAUACCCGUUUGUUACAGCUUUUUUUUAAAAAUAAUUUUUAUAGUAUUAUUUCUUUUUGUUACAGUUUUUUUUUAAAUAAAAUUUCAAAUGAAAAAUAAGUUUAAAUGGUUUAUUUUAAAAUAUUAUUUUAAAUAUUUCAUCUAUUUAUUAAAAAUACUGAAUAAUAAAGUUUAAAAAAUAAUUAAAAUGAAAAGUUAUUUUAAAAUUUUUUUCAUAAAAAUUAUUUUUGAGAGAUAAUUUAAAAAAAAAAUGAUUUUUAUUAUGUAAAAAAUAUCUAAUAAUGAAUAUUUAAGUUAUUGAAUGUCAAAGUUAAUUUUUUUACUCAAUAACAAAUGAAUACAAAAUAACUUUUAUUAUUUUUAAGUAAUUUUUUAUAAAAAUUAUUUAAAAAAUUAUAAAGUCAAAAUCACUUUUUAAAAAAUCUAAGACAAACUGGUUUAAUGAUGCUUUUGCAUGCUUUUAGAUUAUCUAAAAAAAAUUACUUUAUAUAGGUAUAGUUAAUGUAAAUUUGUUACAUGUGCAUCAAAUAAUUAAUACUUGUAUCUCAUUUGAUAGAUAUUUAAAAUCAUUUUAUGUCCUAGCUACAUAAUAAAGCGAUAUUAUAUCUUCAUCUUAUUAAAUGCAUGCAUUUUUUUUUUACAUAUACUAUUGUUUAACAACAAUUAAUUUUAAAAUUUUAAAUAUGCAUUUAGUUCCAACAAAUUAUGUACCUGUUUUAGAUUUUAGUCCCUAUAAGAAUAUCUUAUUUGUUAAAUUACACUUUGGGUCUCUUAAAUAAUUUUAAAAUUUAUUUUUGCUCUCUUAACUUUUUUUCUUUUUAUUUUGGUCUCUUGUGUUAUAGACAUAAGUGCUUUUUUAAUUAUUAGGAGAUUUUCCAAUAUGAUCUUAAACAAAAAAAAUGAAUACAAGGGAUAUUUAAACUCAUAAAUAUAAAAAUAGAGGUUCGAACCCAUCAUCAUAAUAAAUAUAAUUUAUCUAUCUUACGAUAAAGGAUGCUAGAGUAUUAGUGCUCGAAAGUCGCACAACAAAUAAAGACCAAAUUCAACCUUUAACUAAUUUUUUAAAAUAGAUCUUUAAACAUUUAAAUUUUGUAAUUAGGACUGUCGUGAAAUUUUAAAUAUUUUUUUAUUUGAUAAAAGUGAAGAAAAUGGGGAACUCACCCAACUCCAUGUGAAAUAUGCAAGUUGAAAGGAACUCUGCAAAAUACAAAAAGCUUUUAUAACUUAAUUGACAUGUUUUCCAAGAAUAAGAAUUGCAUGGUGUAUUGUUAAUUAAUGUGUUAGUUUUAAAGGUUGGCAACCCAGUUAAAAGAAUAUCCUGAAAUAAUAAUGAAGCUCAUGAGAUGGAGAAACAGUUUGGGCCAUCCAAACCAGAAGAAGCAUCAUUGGGCCUCACAAGCAAAGUUCCUCUGACCACAUGGGACUUUUUGUCAUAACUAUCAAGACACAUUUAUGUUAUUAUGCCUUGUAGCUUCUUUAUUCCCACAAGCAAAAUAAACUGUACAAACGUUAAACCAAAUGUCCCUUGUUUACUUCCAAUAUAUCAAAUAGAAAAAAGUAAGUGUUAAAUAAAUAUUUAAUCUUUAUAAUGUUUACAUUUUUUGUUUUUUUUUUUUUUAAUAAUCUCUCUUUAUAAUGCUGUGGUACUUGAUCUAUAUAUAAUUAUUGAAUCAACAAACAACAGAGUUGGUUUCUUGAUACCCAAGUUUGGAGGAAGAUACUCCCUCCCUAAAAAAUUGAUGUAUUUUGCCUAGAAUAUAAACCAAAUACAUCAAUAUUUUUAGCCAAUUUUUGCAUAUAUUUUGAGAUAAAAAGAGUAUUAAUUAGCCAAAUUGUCAAGCAACUUCUCAUUUGCUUAUAUUUUGAGAUAGGAGUAUUAAUAACAAACUAACCACCUUAUAUUUAACUCUAAUCAACUUUUACUAUAAAUACUCAAUGAUGAACAUGUGUUUGAGUCUUCGAGCCACAGUUCAAUUUUAAUUAUAAAAAUAUUUAAAAUGUAAAAUAGGACCAGUGCGCUUUUGUUUUUGAGCAUUUGAGAUCAGAUACCAUAUUUCCAAGUUAGUACAUCAGUUGCAUCUUUCAGAAUUUAAUAGCUGAUGAAAUAAAUCAAACAUGUAAAAGUACCCUUGUUUUUUUCAAGUGCGUAAUGGCUAGAUUCACAUUUUAAACGUGUAGUGAAAAAUCUCAGGUUCAAACCUUAACCACCGCAUAUUAAUGCCUUUGCAACUACUAACUAAGUUGUAAUUAAGAAACACUAUUCUACGAGAUGAGGGAAAGGAAAGGACCAGCCUGGUGAAUAAAUUCUAUUUACCAAUAGACACUUCAAUUAUUACACAACACAACCUAACAAAUGUUACAUUAUUUAAGGCCAUAUACUAUAUGGUCCCAACCGAAAAUCAUUCAACACAAUUGUAAUGGUACACUAUUCAGUUUACGGUUACACGACAUAAGAGACAAGAAUAAAUUAGUAUUGAUGUUAGGUUACUUACUAUCUUCAACCAGAAAUACUAUGAUCCCUUUCAUCUAAAAUAACAUGUGAUUCUAUCAAAAUAUGAUCUAAAGUUGGAUAAAAUAAAUAUGCAUAGACUUACCAUAAUUGUUUUACUUAAUACUAUGCAUCUCUUUACAUCACAAAAAGUACGCAUAAGUUUAAUACAGAAACACUUUAACUAGUUCAUUACCACAUUCAAAUACAAAUUACUCAAAUAGAAUAACAAUUUUCUUGAAACCCAAGUUAUUAUUAUAGCAAAAUACAUAACCAGGUAAACUAAGGAAACAUUCUUCUGCUAUAUCAGAUGAUUCCUCAGUUCAAUACUGCAAUACACCCUGCAAACAAAGUCAUGAUUUAUAUCUUAAAUCAGAGUGAAGCAACAAAAAAAUGCUGCAUAAUAUCGGAAAGGUUAUAGAUAGAUAUAGAUAUAGCUUACUUUGGUACAGUUAUUCUCAACCGCCUUAGUCCUUAGCGCAUGGCUUGAAUGGAAGGUCCAGAAUUCAAUUGAGAAGUGAUAGUAGAGGCAACAGCAGCUUCUUUAUUUGUAAUGUUCGUGUCGUCGGUUAAUGAAAACCCAAAGAGUCUGCAGCCAGUUUUACAUGACGAAACCAUAUCUUGAUUGCCUCUCGGUAUUGCAACUGAAUCGUGAAGCCUUGAAUUGUUGGACUGAUUAUUAAUAUUGUUAUUAUUAUGAAAAUCAUGCAUACCAAAAGGAUUUGUGCCUUCCUGAGCUAGUCCACUAGAGAAAAUAGGUUUGUCGGGUAGUGAAGGCGUGAACAUUCCAUUUUUUGCUUCGGAUAUGUAUGAGCCUUGGUAACGGAGUUUAUUGUCCUUCUCCUGAUAGCGAUUAGUGUUAUCAAAAUGAGAGUUUGAAACUGGAUUAACAGCCUGCUGGAACAUUAACACAGAUGAUGGAGAUGACACCUGUCCAGAUGUAACGGAUGCAUGCAAAUGUGAAGAGUUGUCGUGCAUCUGCGCAGGCCAACCAUUUCUGGAGCCGAGCAGCUGAUAACCAUCGUAACGUCCAAAGCAACCAUUUCCACGGGCCUCGUCAAACGCGGCUCUCCCGUAGGGUGGACACGGAAAAAUUUCUUGACCUUGCAAGACCUUUUGGAAUCGGAAAGAUUCACCAAAGCCUACGCCAUUACUGGAAAAAUCAGAAGUCACUUGUGGCAUUCUGAUAUUUCCUGUUGCAGCUAUCCCGGAACAGUUAGAACCGGGAUAGCACCUCCCUAGCUCAAAUAACCGGGGACUCUGAGCAUUAAUACUUUCAUAAGGAGUAUUAACACCCAUAAUUUCUUGACCUUGCAAGACCUUUCGGAACCUCAACGAUUCCCCAAAGUCCGACACACCAAUCCCAUCUGUCAAAGUAACAAGUUGUGUCAAUAUUGUUGCAUGAAGAUGAGGUAAGAAGGUACUUAAAUAAAAUUUUGAAAAAGUUUUCAGUAACUUACUGGGAACUGGAAAUUCUAGCUUUCCUGAAGUGAAUCCAAUCCUACUCCUCUUCAAACUAGCUGCCAUCAGGUUACUGGAAGUGGAAGCAGAACCAGAUGGCUCAAUUUCCCAAGGGGAAACCCUGUUAUGCCUUGAUGCUUCUAUGUCAUCCCACCUCACCUAUAAGGAAGAGAAACAACAUAUAUCACUAUCAGCUCGUAGAACAGUAGUAAUGAAAAUCGAUUUGUUAGGAUUGUUCGAGCUUAAUUUACAAUAAGGAAAAGCAAGAAAGAAGUAGAUGUGUAAACUCUAUUAAUAAAAAAUAGAGACCAAAUAAAUAAAAAAUGGACAAUAAAGCUUUAUCAAAAAAAUGAAAGCAGAAAUAAAUUGUUUUGCCAAAAAUUAGAGCAGUAUCGCUAUUACGCUCCUUGUAGGUCCAAAUCUAACGUGAAAAAUAGUAGUAAGUACUAGAAAUGCAAAACUAAUAGGUAAUCAGGAGAAUCAUUAGCUGCAAAUCUCAGGAUGAACAUCGAGAUUGCAUCUCUCAGAAUGAGCUGAGAAUAUAUCAAAAAAGUUAAUAUCAAACCUUUUAAAUUAGAAUUUAAAUUAGAUUAUAACACAGACAGAUAGACAUGACCCCUAAAACAAUUUCAUGAAGAAAAAUAAUAACACGCUAAAAUUAGAAAGACGCAGCCGCAUACCAAUAGGCAUUUCCAUUUUGAUCCUGGCCAUCUAACAGGAUCCACAUCACUUAUUCCAGCAAUUAAUCCAGUGAAUCUGCACAUUAAGAAAUUAAUACAAGAUCAGUAAUUGAUAGGUCAUUAAUAUGUAACGAGAACAAAUGUAACAAUCAAGAAACCUUCGUUCUGCAGCAUCUUCGGUUUCAAAACGCAUCCUAAACCUCAUUCCAACAGAAUAAGAACAAUCAAGGCUCUUCAUGAAUUUGUUGACAGGUAUGAUGAAUUCUGAAGAACUGACCCUGCUAUGGAAAGGUGAUAUAUAUAAGGCACAAGAUAUCCAUAACAAUUUACACACCAUGGCGAGCAACAAAGAUAUAACAAUGGAAAGAGAGGAAGGGGUUUAAGCAGUGAUAAUACUAAAAUUAAAAUAAAAAAUAAAUGACACUAAAAGUAGAGCUUCGAGUAAAAAACUUUGAAUGCAUGGAAAUAAUGAACAAUGGGCCUGACUUUUAUUUCUGUCCCAUCUCAUGCAAAGAUAAAACACCAUAAAAAUGUACAUAGAAAACUGACAGGUUUACAGACUAACUUCACCACAUGCUGUGGAAAGUACAAAUAACAAGAAAAGUAAGUACCUUGGAUUAUAGCAAACACUGAACGCACAUCUCUUCGACAAAGCAUUCACAACAUCCAUGAGAGAGCCAGGAUCCAAUUGCAGACCAGAGGGAGCAGCAAAGGAACCAGAACUUUUCAACUGAACAGCCCUUCGAAUCCCCAAUCUCAAUUCUCCAUCCGCACCUCUAACAUCAAUUAAAAAAUAAAAAUGUUAGUCAUGGUUAGGAAUGAUAGUACUAGUUAACAUUUGAUAGAUUUCAGAUAAUGAUACCUAAGAAACAACACGGCAUCGCCGGACACUAGCUUCUUCUUGUUCACAAAUGCACUCCACCCAGUUGUGAGCAAAUGCCUCCUUGGCUGCCCUGCUCGCAUGAACAUCGGAAAUUAAACCCCGAAGCAGUCAAUAGGCAAUAUACAUAGAGUAAAGUAAAGUAAUGUAAAGUAAUAUAUAUAUAUAUAUAUAUAUAUGUAUGUAUAUAUAAGUGACAUACCCCUGUAUAUAUGUCGAAACCUCCACUCCAGACCAUGCAAAUCCUUGGCUACCAGCUCUUGUGAAGGUCUUUGCAGGCUGUAAUCCUAGAGUAAUAGUGGACUUUAAAUUCAAAAUGCUACCAAAGAAAUAUCCAAGCAUACAUAAGAAAUUUAAAUCAUGACAGAAAGCACAAUUCGAAGUCGGGUGAGAUCACCGCAUUGCAAAACAUUUAUAUGACAGAAAGUACAAUUCGAAGUCGGGUGAGAUCACCACAUUGCAAAACAUUUAUUUGACAGAACGCACAAUUUGAAUUCAGGUGAGGUCACCACGUUACAAAACAUUUAUAAGAUUACUUUCAAGUGUAACAUAUCAGAUAAGGAUGAAUAAAAUGAAAAUUUUGAGUAGGAUCCCUUUGACAAGAGAAACAAAUACGUCAAUAGUGAAACUUACCAGGGGAGGAAAGCAAUCUUCAGCUGCUCGACGAGGCACUGAGAAUCCUCCAUGAGUGCUAGUGUCAGAAGCUGUGAGAGUCUUGCAGAACAUAUGUGGUGUUGUUGACUUCACCAAAGCAUCAGUAUCCUCCUCUUCUGCAUCAGCAUCAAUUUCUCCUUCCCGAAUGUUUUGCUCCGCUUGCUAAAAUCAAAUUUCAAGUUCAAACAAAAUCAAACUUAAAAUCUUUUAAAAAAGGCACUACAUUUAAUAUGCAUAAUAUUUUUUUUCUCUUUCACUCCCAUAAUGAUGCAAUAAGAUACAAUUACGAUGCACUUGUGUUUCUCUCUGGCGGCGCGGCUGACAUACACAUUGACGUAGACAGAAAACAAAAUCAUGUAUAACCAUAUAAAUUUGUUAUUACACUUUUGAUAUCUUGAGUAGAUACUUGACACACUGCUACAUUAAGCAAAUUUAAGUAAAAUCCAAUACAAGUAACCUCUUCACUUAAAUUUUCACUUGACCUCAAAGAGACUAAGACUAAAGCAAAUUCCAACAUCGAAGUUGAGACAUCUAUCCUUCUUCACAACUUACUACAAACCUAAAAUCUGAACCAAAAUAAAAUGAUAUCAUAGAUAAACCUCACCUGAUUUUCAGGAACCAACGAGACUUGGCAAUACACUUCAUCACUCCCUUCCUCUGCCUGCAAAGAAAAAGCACAAACAUUUCAAUAAAAAAUCAAAAUCCACAGUUCCCUUAACACAUUACUCAUCCAAAAGAACAAUAAACAAGCAAAAGCAGCAUUACAGUUUACUCAAACAAAAAGGGGGAAAACAAAAAAGGGUCACUCAUAAUCAUACAUAAAUUGUUAAACUUGGAAAGUAAUUAAAGAACCCUUUUCACUUAAUCAAUUUUCCCACCAAGAAGACAUAAAAAAAAACACAAAAACCAAAACCCCAGAAGAAAAAAAUAAAAAAUUUGGGGAAAAUAAGAAGAGAAGAAACAAGAACACUUACAUGGAGCUUGACAUCAAGAACACGACAGAAAACAUGAGGUGGAAUAUUACAAGCAGGAACAGGAAAAUCCUGAGCUUGUUCAAAGUGUCCUUGAGGAACAUACACAACAAUGCUUCCUUUCUUUGGAAGAGAGAUCAAAGGGCCAGCACAAGCAUGCCAUAGUUCCAAACAAACAGAAGGUUGAGGAGGAACCAUAGCCGAAGCAGAAGUGCUUAUACCAGAGUGAGAAGAAGAAGAGGAAGAAGAAAUAGCUGAAGAUGGAGUUUCAUCUUCCUCAGUAGUGUUAAGAUCGAUUAAACCCAUGUGAAACAAGGUUGUGUUAGCAAUGUUAAGGAAUCUUUGAACAAGUGGGUAUGAUGAUGAAAAAGAAGAAGAAAUUUGGAGGGAGAAGAAGAUUUCAUGACUGCAUUUUGAGAGAGUGUGUUGUUGAGAGUAACUUUGGCAUUGCUAAAAGAAGUUGUGACCCCAAUACUCCAAAAAGAAAGAGACCCUCUUUCUCAGUUUCUCUCUCUUAACCUUUUCUCUCUCUCUCUCUCUCUCUCUUCCACUGAGUUAUCACUCUCUCAGCUGAAUUCCCUUUUGUUUCUUUUUUGGGUUUCUUUUAUUUUAUUACUUUAUAAAAUAUAAAAUAAAAUUGGCUAGUGAAUAAUGAGUUUGUUUAUUUUGGGGUAGCAUCAAACCAAGCUUUCAUUGUGAUUCAUAUAAAAAUGGGAUUUUUAUCCUCUUUUUUUUCUUUAUUAUUAUAAUAAUAUUUUUCUUUAAUAUUUUUUAAGAGGCUUUUGGUAGUGUGUGAGGUGAAGCAGGAACAGAUGCAGCAGUGGUGCAGUUGCUGCAAUGCUGAGACUGUUGGGUGUGAUGUGUGGCAGAGAGAGAAAGAAAGAGAUAGAGAGAGAGAGAGAGAGAAAUAUACAAGCUAGAAGAACAAAAGACUGUAGUAGUGGUAGUGAAAGUUAUUUGUUGGUUAAAAACCAAUUAAUUAAAUUAUUAAAAAAAAGUGUUUAUUUGAGAGUGUACGGUAUCCCUGUAUUUCCGGGCGGAUGUCUAUUCUGUCCCCUUCUACUUCAUCAAAUCUCACACCUAUCCUUCUCUUCUCUCCCAUGACAAAUUUUAAUUAGGUCAUCAUCUUCUGUUAUUACAACUAUGGAGAUUUUCUUUGUUGACCAUCAUCACAUUCAUUAUCUAAUAUCUAUAGAUCAUGCUCCCUCCAUCUAUCCACUUUUAGUACACUUCUGUUUAAUCAUAUAACAAAGACAAAAAAAACUUACUUUAACUUUACUUCAACUUUUAAAUAGUUCUUUUUUUUUUAAUUUGAUUUUUUAUCUUUUAAAAUAUUUAGAGAGUUCAACAACUUUACUCCUAUCCUAUUUCUAUUACAAAUUUAUUACAAAAAAUGUUAUUUGAUUAUUUAACAAAUAAAUUACAUAUUAAAUUCAUUGAGAUAAUGUAAAUUUUAUUUUAUUGUUAAAUUGAAAAAAUAACAAUAAGACAUCGUGAUUUUGUAAAUAAAAAAAAUAAUAUAUCUAAAAUUUUAGAUUAAAUUAAAUAUAUUGAUCAGGAUUAUUCCAUUAUUUUAUUAUAAUCGGUGAUGUUUUGUUGAUAAAUAUAUAUAUUGUCGAACACAAUUACAAUGCAACUAAAUUUAAAAAACUUUCAAGUUAAUUUUUUAAAUAGUUAAUGAAAUUUAGAUAUAUGAUUAAUUAUAUUUAAUAGAUAAUUAAUGUAUAUAUCAAAUAUUCAGAUUCAUUGAUCAUUGAUGUAAUUAUACAUUAACCAUAAAUUUAAAUGACAUUAACUAAAAUUCCUUUUUUUUAUUUAUAAAAAGGAUUAACCAUAAUUUUAGAUGUUCGACUAAAUAUAGAUUUAAAUACUUGAAAUUAUGAUUAACUAUAUAUAAAUUUAUAAUUAACGUACUUACUUUGAUAAUUAGUGAAUUUUAAUAUUUGAUAUAUCUAUAAUUUUUCGUGCUACUAUCUUAUAUUGUCGUUGCUAUUCAAUAAAUUAUAGGACUUUUUUCUUCUUCGUCUAUUAUAGAAUGAUGAUUUAUGAUUAUUUUAUUAUUGUCAUGAUUAUUUUUUGAUAACUAGUGUAUUUGUAUUGCAUCAAUGUACUUUAUCAAUUUGAAUGAAUUAAUAUUGUUAUUUUGAAGUAAAAAACAUUUGAUAUAUCAAUUUUUUCAAACACUUAAAUUUUGUUAUAUUUAUAGACGUGUUGCCGUUUGGUACUAUUAACAUAAGUGAUAUGAAUUUGCUCGCAAAUUCAUUAUUUUUUGUUUUAGUGAAUUUAUAUUGUAUCAAUGUACUUUAUCAAUUUGAAUGAAUUAAUAUUAUUAUAUUGAAAUAAAAAAUAUUUGAAUUUCGUUUUUUUUUUAAGAAGAAGAAGAGUCGAGCUCUAAAAAAAAAAAGAAAACAAAGCUAAAAGCAUUUAGAAAAGACAAUCAAACUCCCAUUGCCGAAAACACCAAUGGAGGAGAAAUAAAAAGUUACAUAAACAAUAUAGUUGGUCUAAGAAAAAGAAAUAAUGCAUUUAGCAAAAGUAUUUGGUGCUUGAUUGACUUUACAAUUGACAUCAAAUAAUUUAUAAAAGUGAUUCAACUUUACAAAUACCUCGUUUAUACGAAUAAUAAGGCAAUAACAUAUAUGUGUAUUGGAACAAUUAUUCAUAAUCAACAACUCCUCAGAAAAUGUCAUGUUCAAACUGUUAUAAAUAGUCUAAAGUUAUCUCAUCGAUAUUGUGCAUGCCUUAAAGCAUAGGACUAUAAUAUUUAUACUUUAAACAUCCACCGAGUAAUAUCAAACAAUUCAACACCGAAAAAAAAAAACGACACACUUAUAAGACAGUUAUUAAUUUGAUAUAUCUAUUAACCACACAUAAUAUAAUUAAUUAUAUAUUUGAAUAGCGUUAGAGAAUUGCAGUUAUAUUAAUAUUAUAAAGUUGUUCAAAAAAAAAAUUCAGUUAGAAAUGACACAAGUGUUGUUGACAUGCAAUGAGGCGUCGUUUACUUCAAAUUUUCGAAGUGAUCGUAUGUUGAUAGAUAGUACUAAGAAUGGCGUAUGUUAAUAUCUAUCUUGUUUUCUGUUGAUUCUGAGUCACGGAGGCACCCCUAUUACCCCUCAUAUUUGGCAGGUUUUGGUGGUUAAUGUGGACAAUUAACCAAAGUAUCAGAGACAAGUGCAAAAUAAAUAGGUUUCGAUAUGGAAAGUUGCAUAAUGUUUUUAAGCAUUUAUCUUUUUCAAUUUUGAAACGGCUAAUUAGUUUUGCCCACUUAAGUUUUGACUUUACCAUUAGGGUCCUAUCAUCAUAAUUAUAACUAGCUCUUAACUUAGACAAAAAGUAAUGACAAUUUUAUAUCACUCUGGCUAACCAUUUAUGCAACUAUAUGGUAAAUAAAUGAAUUAGCUUUAUCACUUUAUAGUCUAUAGAUCAUAAAGUCUUUGAGGCCCCUCUUUUUGUAAGUUUGGAGUUAUUUGCUUCUUUAAAUUAAUGACACGUCAGUUUAAUCAUUGAUGUCCAUACUCACACCUUACUUCCCUUAUGCCUCCCUAGUCCCUACUACGAAGAAUUUUAUUUUUAUUUUUAUACUAAGCUACAUGUAACGCAGCGAAUUUAUUCUCUUGUUUUAUAUCGACAUCGUUUUUAAUUAAAUGAUCAUAACAAAGUUAUUUUUAUGUAAAGUUAUAAAAAUAGUGUUUUUUUUUUCUUUUCUGAAAAUAUUGUUAGUCAAGCCAUAAUGAUAUGCAUGAAACGAUGAAAUCAUAAACAAAUAUGUCAUUCGUAUCAUAAUUGUUUGUCUACGUCCUACCUACUCAACACUUGUUCAAAUAUAUUUUAAUUUUCAAUUGCUUGCUACUGCCAUUAAAUGAUUUUUUUUUUGAACUAAUAUUAUCGGAUUUAAGAAUAUUUAAAUCUUAAAUUAAAGUAAUUGCGAAAUUUGUCUUCAUCUCAGUAACAUAAAAUCAACUGAUAUGAUUAUAAUCUUAAUCUUAUCUUAAUAUCUUAAUUUUAUUUCAACCUUAAUCGUGAUAUUCAUUUUAAACUGUGAUAUUUUUUAUGCAUGUCAUUCAAAUAAUUCAUACUGGCACAUCGCCAUCUUAAAUCACUUAUUGGUAAUGGUAUUAGCCUUGUCUUAUUUUAUAUUAAUUUUAAUUAUCUCCUUAAACCUAUAUUAAUUAUAAAUCACGUGAAGCUACAUCCACAAAAACAUCAAUAAAAUAAUAAUACUUCGUAUAAUUUAUAAAUUUGGAUAAUUUUAAUUUCAUCUUAAUCCGAAAGUCAUAUUUUAAUAAUUUAUAUUUUAUUUGAACCAUAAUAAAUUUUAUUGUCAAAACUCGUCGAGAAAAAAUUAAAUUAAAUUUUGAAAAUACGUAUUAGAUUUACAUUAAAGUGUCGAGCCACACUAAUUUUUUUUUUUUUUAAGUUUUAUCCACUAGACAAUCUUAUUCGAGUAAAUGAUGUGGUUAUUAUUAAAAGUAUGGUAUUUUAUUAUUUUGAUUUUUAACUCAAUAAAAAAAUUAAAUUAAUUAUUAAAUUAUUAAAAUAACAAUCAAUCUUAUCUCUAACAUUAUAAAUAUUAUUUUUAUAAUAAAUUAUAUUUUUCAAAUAUUUUUCGUAAAAUAAAAGAUGUUGAGUCAAAAAUCAAAAUAAUAACGACUUUUAUUUUAAGAGAUUAAAAUAAUAAUUUAUUUUAAAUUAAUUUAAUGUAUUAGUCCACGUGUGAGUUUGUCCUUUCACUCCCAUUUUUUUCACUGCAAAAUCCUUUCAUUGUCCACUAAUUUUUUUUAGGUUCUGCAUCUUUCUUUCUUCUUCACAUAGUUUGCAUUAACAUGUUGUCUUUGCGAUCCUUUUGUGUUUGGUGUGUUCUUGUUGUGUCCAAUGUAAAGGGAAUCAACUUAAAAUUCAAAUGAAUCACAUAACACAGUUGAGAAGAACAUAUGUCAUCCCAAUAUUUGGAGGUAUAUAAACGAAUUUUUCAUGAUAUAUGGUAAGAAUUGUUAGAUAUCAAGUUAUUUCAAGCAGAUUACCUUAGACUAUCAUGUUAUUCUAUCAAUUUCAAAAUACAUUUAUAAAAAUGAAAUGAUGCGAUAAAAUAUUAAAUUUAUUUAUUGAAUGUCGGUAUAAAUCUUGUUUACACUAACAUAAUGUAUACUUUAAAUCCUUUCACAAAUUAACAUUUGCAUGAAGAGAUCUAAUUAAUAAAUAUUUGUAUAAAACUUUUUUAAAUCAACAUGGUUAAUUAAAUAAUUAUUAUAUUAUAUGCUAAUAUGAAGUCAUUUAUCGCCAUAUACUUUUUGUGUUAACUUAAAAGUAUUUAUUGAUAAUUUUUUCAGUGAUUUAUCUUCACCAAAGAACUCAAUUGAUCAUUUUCAACAAAAUCUCCUCUCUCAUCUUUUUUUUUUUCUUUCAUUUAUAAGACUUGUACUUGAGAUAUGAUUUAAAUUUUUUUGUUUUAAUCUUAAUGAUAUUAUUUAUCUUAAUCCAAUGUCAAAACUAUAUUCAGUGGCAGAAUUCGAAUAAAAAUUUGAGAAUUCUAAAAAUUUUAAAUUAUUAUUUAUAAAUCAAACGCAUAAUAUUAUAUUACAUAUUUAAAUAUGAUUUUGAUCAUUUACUAAUACAUCCCUUUUUAUAUUUGUCUUUGUUGAGAAGUUAAUAUUUCAAGUUAGUUUUAGGUAGUUACUUGUAAUAGAAGUUAGUUGUCAAUAUUUUGUUUUAGUUGUUUUGUUAAUAACAAGUUAGUUUGUGAGUCAAGCUUGUAACAAAUCAAUGUGUAUAAAUGUAGAGUUUCAAUGAUCAAUAAUAUAAGUGAAUUGAUUAAAGAAAAUAAUCUCAAUAUCCUCUCUCUUUCUUUUCUAAUCAUAAUCCUAGUAACCAUUCAAGAACAUUCAACAAGCUGUUGCAAGCUCAUAGUGAAUUAGUUGAGUGUCCAGUCUUGACAAGUUGUUUGACUUAUUCCAAAAGUCUUAUGUUAAUGUUAAUUUCUAUAAAAUUUAUUCAUGUUAAUAUUAAUUAGUCUCUAAAAUAUGUUACGUUAUUCAUUUUAAUCGUUGUAUAGUAAUAGUAGGGGUUAAAAUCAUAUUACAUUGAUAAAUGAUAAAAUAAAAAUUAUUUUAUUGACUAAAAAUAAACGAUAAGAAUCGGUAGAAAAAAUUGUAUAUUUAUCAGAAAUAAAAUAAAUUAAAAAAAAAAAGUGAUUAUAAUAGGUCCAAAAUAUAUUUAAAAUUAUAUUGUACAUCAAAUUUAAAUUAUAAAUUCGCAAUGAAAACAUAGCAAAUUAGUAAAUGCAAUCUUAGAGGAAGACGGAGAAUCAAACGGAAAUACUACACGUGUAUGAAAGAAAUGAAACUCACAUCACAUAGUUAAGGUCUAGACAGGAGGGUAUGUAGUGUAUUCUUUUUAAUAAAUUUUCGCUAUAUGUUAAUAUUUUUAUAGUUUUCCCUAUAUGUUUUUUCAACAACAAAAAAAAAAAAAUUUCACUAUAUGUUAAUACUUAUACUUGACGUUAUAAAAGAAAUUCCACAGACCUUUUAUCAAAUUUAUGGGAAUAUAAUUUUCAUAAUGUUAUUUUAAAAAUAUGGAAACAAAUUAAGAGAUGUUUGAAUGAGCAAAUUAAUCAUACUGGCAGUAGUAAUUAUUUUGGCAGAACUUAUAAAUAAAGUAGCAGCAUUGAUCCAAAUAAAGGAUGAAAGUGAACCCGGCAAGGAAUUUGGGUACCAUGUUUGCACACUUUGCUAUAGGCAAUUUUCAUCAUGUUUUUGUUCCUUCCAUUUUGAGAAGAAGGGUAGAUAUGUAAAUUGCGCAUAAAAAAAUACCAUAACAUAAAAUAAAGACCCACCCAGUGGCAGUAAUGAAAAGAGUGAGGUCUUUAUCAGAAACCAUCAAUAGCGAAAAACCCAAAACACAGCCUCAGAAACAAACAGUAGAUUAGAGGCAGGUCUAUAAAUUAAGGACUCAGUCAGUGAAGUUGUGAAUGUGGGCCCUACCAUUAGUUGGAUAACCCGGACAAAACGGGUUACCACUCACGGUCUAACCGGUUAAACCGCUGCAUCGUGCUUUUAUCCUAAUCUGGAAAGUCGAAACACUUUUUAUUCCACGCUCCGAAGGAAGGAGCGCGUGUUUCUUUUAAUUAAUUUUUUUUAAUUGUUGUGCAAAAAUAUCUAUGAUAAUAGGUUGGAAAUGUGACAAAAGUAUCUAUAGAGCCAUGUUCCAUUGAUAUGUUGCUAGUUGAGUGCUCCUUGAUUUCUCUAACGUCACGUAAUAUAUCUCAUCCUUAACUCUUAAUGUACUCCAUUAUACUCUUUCUCUAACUAUCAUUUAAAUUUAAAUUUUUGCAUUAGUAUUAACAAAUACAAUAAUUAAAAUUAUAUUUAAAUAUUUAAAUUGUUACGUAAGUUUAUAGAUUUUUUAUUUUUGUUUAUGUAAGUUUUUUUUUUUAAUUUAAAUAUCUUAAAUUUAAUUUAGUUUUAAAAUCAUCUCUAUUGUAAAUUUUAUGAGACAGAGAGAGUGAUAUAAUAUAUUGAUAAAUAAUAAUUAUUAAUUAAAUAAUUAAUAAUUCAAUUGAAUAAAUUAAAUAAUUAAAAAAAUAAAAUUAAGUUUGGAGAUUAGAGUUUUCUUUGCUCUCAUUUUUUCUCUAUUUCUCCUUAUUCUACAAAACAAAAACAAAAAUUAAAUAUUAAACUCAAUAAAUGUAAAUUAUAACUACAAAGAGUAAAAAUAAAAAUCACAAAAUUGUUAUUUAGGGUUUUCAUUGUGUUAAAGAUAAAUAUACGCAUUGUUUAUCUGAAAAUCUCCACCUUUCAAAGACGAAACAAAUAUUAUAUCUUGAAAAAAAGAUAUAAAUCAUUUUUACCAAACUAUUCAUCUUAAUUAUUGAUCAAUUUUUAUCAUUAAAGUAUAAUAAUAUUUUAUAAAUUGUGCACCUAGUAAUUAUUGAAAAGUAAUAUAAAAAAGUUAAUUAAAAUCACAUUGAAAAUUAAUAAUAAAUAUUCAUUUUAAUAUAAUUUUUGUUGGUACUAAAAUGACAUUCAGACGGAUAAUUAUAUAUUAACACAAAUGCAUGUGUUUUAAAGUAGAUGUUAAAAAAUUAAAAAUAUAUAAAUUUUGUCAUUUAAUUCACGCAUUCUAGUUCUAACUCUUAAAAAAAAUUAAAAGUUACUAGUAAUUUUUUCUGAUACAUAAUUAUAUAUGCUUUUUAGAUUUCUCAAUAAGUGUACUAAAAUUGAGUUUAUAUCCUCUCAAAUGAUUUAUUUAUAUGAGAUAAUAUUAUAAUUAUUAAAUUAUUUUCUUAUUCUCUUUCAUAAAUUUAUAUUUAAGUACUCGAGGGAAUCUUAACUCACAAAAUAUACAAAUUAGCAAAACCAAUCAAUAUUAAUGUAAUAUAUAUAAUAUAAUUGAUUAAAAUGUCUAUGAAAAUAGUUUUAUUGGAGAACUUAAUGAUACUACAAUAGCUUUUAGGAGGAGAUUUUGAAAUCAAGCUUGAAAAAUUAAUAUAACUGCUAAUCUUUUUUAAACCACAAAAUAAAAAUAUGUAUAAAAUAUUAUAAUGUUGUAGUAAAACUAUAAAUAACGUAUUUUUUGAACAAAUAUUCCAUCUCUUUCAAAAAUUUAUCAAUUUUAUUAUUUCAUACGUAUUAAUAAAAGUCAAUUAAGUAAUAUAGAUAAUAUUAUUUUUUAUUAAAUUAACCUUAUCAAGUAUUGAUUUAUUUAUUAUUACAAUUAGUGUAAAAGGUACCAAAAAAAAAAAAAUGAAUCAUUCAUUUUAAAAGAACUAUUUUUAUAAAUGAAUCAAUUAUUGUAAGAUAGAAAAAAUAAUAUUUUAUAAGUAGGUAUCUACAAGACGUCAAAUAUAUUAAUCAUGAAUUAGAUAAUUUUUGUUUAAAAAAUUGCUAGUGUAUUAUUGAAAAUAACUUGUAAACAUUUUAAAAAUAUUUUUGUGUCUAGGUGUAAUCACUUUGGCUCUUUCAAAGGUGAAUGAAAAAUGCAUAUAUUUUUUAUAUACACGUAGUUUGCAUUACAUGUUUUUUUUACCCUUCAAUUCUCAAAGAAAAUAAUCACAUUGGUAAUAAAAUUUGAUUGAGAUAGUCGAGUAACGUUUUAGUUAGGUUUGAACACGGGUGCUUUUGAUUUGUUAUUAAUUAAAAAAAAAUCAUUAACCAAUCAAUUUUAAUCUUAUUAGUAAUAUAAUUUUUUUUUAUGCAUCACGUGUUACGAUUCAAAGUAAACGACUUAAACAUAUUUAAAGGAUUUUGAGGGCAAGCGUCUAAAAUUUAAAAUUUGAUUAUAUAAUAUACUAACGAUUAAAAUUUGUUUAAAAAAAACUUCACCUAUUUGUUUAAAAUUUGUACCCUAUAUUUGUUUUACCACUUUGCAAAAUUAUGAAAUGAAAAGAUAUACCUUAAAUUUGUACAUUGUAAGUUUGAUAUCUAAUAAUAUAAUUGAAAAUGCAGAACAUAUGUAAUUUUUUUAUAAAUAUUUAUUUAAACAUAAAUUAUUUUUUUACCUUAAACUCACACACCAUUCUUCAAUAGUACAAUACAAUACAAAUAUUAAGAAUAAAAGGUAAUGCAUAGAGAUAUCGUUAGAAAGCAACUUUUUUCAUGCUGAGUCUCAUACACUCAAAUUUCUAUAUACUCCAAUUAUAAGUUAUUUUACCAUAAUUGCACGACUUUAUAUUUUUUUGAAAUAUAAUGAUUGAAAGUGUAGGCAUGAGAAUAGAAUAUCUUGUAACUUUAUAUGCUUGUAUAUAAAUAAUGUCUUGUGAAUUAGAAUCCCAGCAUGUGACAAUCACAGAAAAAGCAUAUGUGCAUGCCAAAUUGCCCCAAAUCAUAAAAACACUUUCAGCCAAACCCUUAACCAAAGACACAUACAUGUUCCAAAUACAAACACCCUAAUCACUUGGCCCGCAAUCAAUUCAAUUCAAAGCUGCAAGCUGCAUGAUUUUACAAUACAUCACCCAACCAAACCCCACAUUACAUACACUAUCUCUCUCUAGUCUCUCUCUCUCAACAACUACUCUCACUAUAAUAUGCAUCUUCCAUAAACUCCUUCAUUUUCUUAUCUUACCCAAAACAAGGUCACUCCUCCACUCCAGUAACCGUGAACCGGGCCCACCACCUGCAAAGGGCCCAUUAAGCACACAAUAAAAUGAAAGCGCGUAGUUUGCACACGCCAUAAAGUGUAUUUGUGAUGGGAAGGGGCAGAGAGUUUAGAAAGAGUGAGGGAGCAGAAACCCUCGACUUUUACGCGGGUGUUGUCUCACUUUUCUCUCUCUUACACUUUCAUCGUACUUUAGUCGUGUCAUCCGUCUUAUCUGCACGCGCUCCAACGCCGUGUUUGGUACUGCCAACAACGGUUACUCAAUGUGGUUCGUGAUACACGUGUCAUGUUCUGAAGAGGUGGCCGUUGGUGAGGGGGUGUUUUGGUCAUUGUGUGUUUGGUGGGUCCUAGGUGGAGAGUUGCCAAAAGGAACUAGACCGGUCUUUGUCUCAAUCAGAGGGUGUCGGCUACCGUCAAGUGGGAUUGAAAAUCGAACGGUGAGGAUUGGUUGAAACUGAAUUAAAAGCAUCUUAGACCCACCCACUCUACUCUGUAUGGGAACGUGAUACCUGGAAUCCAGAGACCCCAAAAAGGAUGGAUUUUUCUGUGUUACGUGACACUGCACCCUCUGCCUCCUACUGCUCCACCUUUUUGGUGCGAGACUCACUUUCAUUUCUUUUUUAUUUUUUAUUUUUUUAUUUACUCAUUUUAUUAUUAGAUUAGAUCUAGUAUCACAUUGAUCAGGAUAAGUUAAAAUCAUACGUAUUACAACUUUACUAGUAAUCUUCCUUCUCCAUCUUUUUUUACCUUAACAACAUAUUACACAAGCGGUUAUUUACUUAAAUUAUCUCGCUAUUUAUUAUUUGAUAAAAUAGUUAAAAAGAAACUAAGUAUUUAUAUAUUAAAUAAAAUUUAUUGGUAAUUAACUUAUUAGUUAAUAGGUUAAUUAAUACAAAACAAUUGAAGUAUAUUUGUUAAACAAUAAAAAAAGAAAGUAAACACAUGUUUUGAGUGAAACAUUUCAUUUUGUAUAAAUUCAAAAGAAUUAAUUACAUAAAUUCUAAUAUUUUUUUCUUCUAUAUUUCUAUUCUUAACAAAUGUUAUUAGACACUUGUUAGCAUUUAAAAAAAAUAGAUGGUAGAGUAAAGAAAAACUAAAGGAAUAGCUAAACAUCAUUCAUAAAACAUGCAAGUCUCAAUCAUAAAAAAUGAGAUCAUGUAUCUCUUUAGGAGGGGUUUCUAUAAUGUAAGUUCUAUAAAAUAUAUGAAUUAGACUAAAGUUGCAUAGUCAAUUAACAUUUUUAUUUGUCUUCACGUAAUCUGUGAUUAAUUAAUAUGGACAUGCUUAAACCCAAAAAAUAUGUGAAGCGACGAACUAGCGUGGAAAUAGUUACGUUAAAAUUGCAUGUCUCUAUUAUCAAUUCUAUCAAAAAAUUUAAAUCGCUUUCCACAAUGAGAUAAGUGAUACUCUUUUUUUCUAGCCAAAUCCAGUCUAAUGAACAUGUCUCACAUUUAUGCUUGCGGAGCAUAAUACCUAAUCUUGCCAGCGUAACUUUUAAGCCAUCUACCAUUUGAAUUCUUUAGAAAACCUCUCCAACAUGAUAGCUCUAAAUAAUUAAUAUUUGUAAGCACCGUAAAAGUUUAGCUUGGGCUAUUCCUUUGGUGGACGUUUCCAACCUAUUCUUUUUUUAUUUCUAUUUACAAUUACAAAAAUUAAAGUAUUUUAAGAUGUUAUUAAAAAUAUUUAGGUCAAUCAGAUAUGACAUUAAUAAAUUUGUAUUUCGAAAAUUAUAACAAUAGAAUAAAUGAAAUGAUGAAAAAUUGAAAAUAUCAUAUCUCAAUAAGGAUGGAAUAAUUGGUACAUAAGUUGACUAAAAUUAUCCAUUUUAUUUUUAGAGAAGUGAUUAAAAUCACAUUUUCAUUUAAAAUAAUAUUUUUAGAAUUUUUUUUAAGAAUUAAAAAAAAAAGUUAUAAUAAAUAGGUUUAAAGUGAUUGUCAUUAUGAAAAAUAAUAAUAUUUUUACUCUAUCUGCAUCAUUUUAAGUGUUUCAUUUAUCUAUAUUAAAUUGUGUUAUUUUAUAAUAUUAAUUAUUUUUUAUUAAUAUAUAUUUAUUUAUUGUAUUUCAAUUCAUCACACUUAUCAACUAACUGUGAUCAAUAAAUGUAUUUGAAUAAAUAAAACUAAUUUUUUCAUCAAAAUCAACAAAACUAAUUAUUUUCUUAAAAAUUAUAUACAACUUAAAUUAAACAAAUUAAAAUGAGACAAAAAUAAUAAAAAUACUAUUAUCAAACGACUUUAAGAUAACACUAAAAAUAUAUAUACAAUUGUAAAGUUUUAAGUACGAUGUUGAAUGUAACUAUAUCAUAUUUAUGAUUUAAAUGAGAACUUAAAAAAAACGAUUUUAUUGAAUUGAUUCUUAUCUUAGAUAAGAGUUCUAUUCUAUACCGUUCUCUUCCCUAAAAAUAUUGUUGAUAGUUACUAUAGGUUUUCGUUUUUGAGAACAUUGACUAUUUAGUGUUGGUUCAAAUUGGCGAAGUAUAGUACACUGCAAUCCAAAGUCCAUCUAGAGGUCUAGGUGGGGCUCUCAUUGUCAGGGGAAACCGUAUUUGAGAAUUGAAUUUUACUGUCUCAUAUUUAAUAACAUGAUAAAAUAAAUAUAUCGAAAUCUAUAAUAGGUACAGAUUUGUUAAUUAUAGAAGUAAAUGGAAAAUAUGUUACUCUGAUUAAUAAUUUAAUAAAAACAAUAAUUUCAAUUAAUUUAACAAUUGAUUAUUGAUAUAAUAUAUUAAUAAUUAAAUAUACAAAAUUUUAUAUAAAUCUAAAAUUCGUAGUUAUGUAAUAUAAUUAUUAUUAUUUAUUAAUAUUUUUUCAAAGUUUAUUACAUAUUCAUUUGAAAUUAUUUUUAAAAUUUUAUAAAAAGGUUGUAAAAUUGAUCUACUCCAUAAUUUUUUUUAGUUUGACAGUUAAAUUGAUAAAAUUUGUUAUUUACAUUAAAUUAUUAAAAGAAACAAUUCAUCACAUAAUUACUCAUAUAAUCAAUAAAUCUUUAUUUUCAUCUAUAAAUAAUUGAGAGUUUAAUUUAUAUACAUUUUUAAUCUAAAAUAAUGUUCACAUCACCUCAUAGGUAUAAUAAUAAAGAAAUUAUUUUGAAGUCAUUAAAUAAAUGAUGUGUCAUCGCGUGAUUAGAUGCACAUGUAAAACAUUGUUACAUUUAUAAUAUGUAAGCAUUAAACUUUUAUUUAUAUAUAUAUAUAGUUAAAUUUAUGACUUACUAUUCCACUACACAAUUUAGUUGUUUGUCUACUGCUAAGGUAGCUAGACAAGAUAACAAAAUACUUCAAGCUAUUAGGCUUGAGGUGAGGCAUCUAACUAUGGUGCACGUUGGUUACUUGAUUCGAGUUAUAAGUGAUUCAGAUAUUUUAAGCAAAGUGAUCAAUAAUUUAAUUUCUUAAUUAUUUUUGCGCAUGGAGAAACUAUUUGGUCGGUAAGGGAGAGUCGAUUUCUGUAACAUUGAUUAAUUAUCUGUAGUCCACGUUAUACAAUAGAACAAAAAUAAAUUUAGCUUACACAGAAGAUUAAGAAAAAAUGUAUCUGUAUAUGGGUUUUAUGUUAGUAGGGAGUUAAAUCAUUAACUUUUUUUUUCUUCUUUCUUUCUAACUCCAACUCUUAUAUGAUCCUUCUAAAUCAACUCUUGUACUUUGUAAGUUAUAAACAUCAUAUCUUGUUGGUUAGCAUCAGUCAUGGUAUUUAUAAUCAUAUGAUGUUGCUACAUUUUCUUCUCUCCCUUUUUUGAAUCUCAGUUUUUCUCCUGAUAAGUUUGAGGUGCUGGUCCCUCGCUCAGUGUCACUUGUAUUCUUAUGUUGUUAGAUUUUUCUGAGAAACAGAAUAUGUCGUUUUCAAUGGACUGGUUGAGCUAGCUUACAGUCAAAAGAAUUAAAAUUAUUAAUUUAUGUUUAUGGAGCAUGAAUAGUCUGCAUCACACGCAUGCCUCAAUUGAGCUAUGAUUAAAGUGUGGUGUGGUGUAGAUAACUUCUUUUCGAGUCAAGGACCAAGCAAAUUAGUAUGUUAUUAUGUAUAAGAUGAGUUAGUAUCAUUUGACUGCCCCAUACUCUCUAGUAUUUGAUAUAAAAUAUAGAUUAAAUUGUAAUUUUAAUCUCUUAAUUAUUAUUAAUUUAUGAAAUUAAUCUCUCUAUUUUAAAAGUCGAUAGUUUUAAUUUCUCUUUUAGAUUUUUGAAUUAAAAAAAUAAUAAUUUCACAUAUUUUAAAUAACGUGAUAUACAAUUCUAUAAUAUAAAACUAUAUAGAUGUAUUAAUUAUUUAUACAUCAUUAAUUAAAUUUCUGAAGUUGAAAGCUAAGUUUUUUCGGUGUUUUAUUCUAAUUUCAUGAGUUUUAAUCAUUUUACAUCAUUAUAUCAUAUGUCAUAUGUUAUUUAAAAUAUCUAACGUCAUCAUUUUGUAGUUAAAAAAUAAGAAGAAGAGAUCCUGUCUAUUUUUAAAAUAAAAUAACCAAUUUUGUGAAUCAGUAACAAUAAGAGGUCUAAAACUGUAAUUAAAUUUAAAAUAUAAGAGAAAAUUUAAUAAAAAAAACAUAUUUAAUUCAAAAUGUAAAUAAAAUAUAUUAAUUUUUAUAGAGUCAUUUUUUUUUAUGUUUAAGACCGGAGGCUAUACACAAAUAUUAUGACAUUUAUAAUAAUUCCCAAGUGUAUAUUCAUCUUAUAAAAUCUAAUGUUGAAUUAAAACUUAAUAUAACAAAUCAUCUCCAAAAAAAUUUCACAUAAAUAUGAAAUUCUUUAAUAUAUGAUAUUUCAAAGUUAGUUCGUUUAGUAAAAUUUCAUAAGACAUUAAUUUUAAAGUAUAUUAAUACUAUAUCAAACACAAUAUUAAGUUUGACACUAUUGUGUUAUGAAUCAUAACUCAUUUCAACUAUAGAUUUUUUUAAUUAAUUUAUAUUUUUUUUUUGUUAGCGUGAACAUACUCAAAAAUAGUAACUAUUUCAGACUUAUAUGUUAUAUAUUAAAAAAAGUAAUUUUAAUAUUAUAAAAAUUACAUUUUUUUAAAAACUAUCUCAAUUUUUUUUUAUGAGAAACUACUAAAAAAUGAUUUUUAUCUUCCAAAAAAAUUAUAGAAAAAAAUAUUUUAUGAGAACUAUUUAAAUCAAUUUCUCAUUUAAAUGUUUUUUAAAAAUUAUUUUUUAAAAUAUUUAUAACAAAAAAAUAAAAUAAUUUAAAAAUCAAUUUAGAAAAAAAACUAUAACAAUUAAGUGAAUCUCUACUCAAAGUGAGAGAACUAACCAUUCAUUAAACGGAAAGAUAUUUGGGUAAGAUUUUAAACAUAAAACUUAAGUACAUAAAAAUACAUAUCAUUUAAUUUUUUAAAAAAUAUAUAUUAUUUAAUUGUUUUUCCUUUUUAUUUAUUUUUUAUUUUGUGACUGUGUCUAAAUUUUAUGUGCAAAAUUUUGAGACUACACAAGAAUUUAUCUCUUAAACCACCAUCACGCCAUUAAAUGAAUCUCUAUUGUUUGUUGGACAUUUUUUUUUCUUAUCUUUCUUUUGGGCUUAAACCAUGUGUAAUCCUUUAUUCGUAUAUAAAUUAAUAUUUGUUAUUAAAAUAUAAAAUCAGACACGAAAUACAAUACUUUUAUAAAUUAAUUAAAAUAUUAUAUUUGUGUCUUAUUUUGUAUUUUUAUAACAUUACUCUUUAAAAAUCAACAACACAAUGUGGAAUUUCAAAUCACUCAUUUGCAUUUGUUAGUAACUUCAAUGAUCAAAUAUAGAACACCACCAAAUACUUCUAAAAUUUGUGUUAUUCAAGAUUUUAGAUACUAAUUUCUUGAGUUCAAGUGAUUAAUGAAUUUAACUUAAAGAUGAAAUAUUUGUAAAAAUUCAAAUUUAAAUCAUAAUUGAAAUAAUUAUUAACUAAAUUUUUCUUACCUUCCAAUCAAAUUUUAAAUUACAAAAGUUUCCGUUAACAUAAAGAGUAUUCAAGAGCAACUCUAGUUUAGUAUUAUUAUCCAAUUUGCGUUGGUUCAAGUUAGAUGCCCCACAUAUAGACUUGUGCCAUAAGUUAUUAACCAUAUGUGUGACAUUCGGCACAUCAAAUCCACCUGCCAUGCUCUUUCUUAUCAUUUACCAUUACAAGUCAAAGACAAACCUUUGCUUCUAAGAAAAAUAUUCCCUGUUAUUCAAUCGUAUACUCUCGUUUUUUCUUAAGAAAAUAAGUAUUAUUCACACAACAUUAAUGUAAAUCAUUUACAGAAAACUCUUAUAACCACAAGAAUCAAAUGCUUAGCAUUGAAACUAAAGUUUGUUUAAAUUAUAAUCAGCUUCCAUCGCGGCUACUUGCUGUUGCUGUUAUUAACAGAUAAUCAUCUAAUUAAUUAUACCACAAUCCAUUUGUUACAACUUAACAUGGGUUGGCACAUUGAGACGUGCACUUCAUGAUCUCAAAUAUAUAUUCUGACUUAGAAACUUAUAGUUUUUACAAUGUGUUCUUUCAAACAUCACUCAGAACUCUUUUAUGAAUUUUAUAUUGUAGAAUUCUACAAUUCAGAACAUAGUCAAAAUUUUCUCCUUUUGUUAACAUGAUGUACUGACGUAAUCAUAUUGAAGAAUAAGAUACACUGCUUUACAUACAUUUAUGUAUCACUGAAUUUGUCUUUCAUUAUAAAACAUUGUUGUGUUACAAGUUAAGGUUGUUCUUUGCCAUCUGAAACUUGCUACCUUGAGAUCUAGUUGUAAGAUGCAAUGGCCUUGAAUUAGAGUCAAGAUAAUGGAGGAUCAAAACCAUAACAAUUGAACAAAUAAACAUUGGUAUUGGACCAAAAAACCAAAGCAACAAAUUAAGUGCAAAAUAGAGAGCUCUAAGACCAAGUGACCAAAAGUCACCACCCCUUAUAACUGCUAAUUCAAUACUACUAACUGGAAAAAAGCUAUCUGGUGUGCUUAUCAAAUAGUUCGCAUGAACAAAGUGUCUUGCUGAUUGAAUAAAGCAUGAGAAAGCAAGGAGAAAGCAGGUUAGUAAGCAAAUGUACUUGAUGGAUAAUGUGGUUGCUUUUGUGUCACCAUAGAUUAAUUGACUUUGGAACAAAAUAUUGGAACUAUUUGCAAUCCAAGCUCCAAUUAGAGAACAAAGAGUCAAAGAGACUGAGGCCAAGAAUGUUGCAGCUGUUGUGUUGGAUUGAAUGACAGAUAGAGCUGUGCUAACAUCCUUUUUGUCAGCCUGAUCAUUCAUUACAAAGUUUAUAAACAAGCUUAAAAAAUUUAAAAGAUGUUUCCAAUGAAAUCAUAGGAGGGAUAAGGAUUAUACUUGCCUGCAUAAUUCUGUCAACCCAUGCUCUUAUGUCAUUGUUCACGAAUCCCAUGACAGUGGUGUGAGGCCUAUUGAUAUAUCUGUGAAGCAGAAAGAGGUGAUAAGCAAACAUGACCAGCAACCCACCAGGGACUAAAAUCAAAUCCAGAUACUCCUUAUGGAACUUCAUUUACACUUUCUUCCUUCCUAGGAAUCUAAUUUGAGGAGUAGGAUAAAGUUAUCAAGGCCUUCUGUUAUGAACAAAUAACUAAGUGGAGUCCAUGAUCAUCAUUCAUAUUUACAUUUAAUAUGCUUGACGGGCCAUUGACUUUUAGACUUAUAAUUUGGCAACCAAUUGCAACUUGCUAUAAUUUUCCACCAUAUUUUAUUCUCAACCAUUGGCAUUAUUGAUUAGCACAGCUAGAACACUAACUAACAAAAGAAAGAAGUUGCUUGGGGAAAGGGGAAACUUUUGGACUUAGAAACAAGUUUUGUACUCCAAAUUGUUAUAAUGUAGAUGGUAUAAAUCACUCUCAAUGCACCUGAAUAAUUAAAAGUUAUAUAGUACAUAAAAAAGGAAACAAGAGGAACCUAAGUACAAGAUGUGCCUAGGUUCAGCAAAAGUAUGUAAAAAUACAGUAAGAAGUUCUGCAUAACUGUAAAAAAAAGAAAUAAACUAACUAAUCCCCCACGUCAUGAACCAACACAAAAUAACAAAACAAAUGAACAAUGAACCGAAAAAUAACAAUUGAUCAGUUCCUAUAUCCAGCACCCGUCAUUUACCUACUUCACAUUUCUCAUGUAUAAUGAGCCUAUCACAUCAAAAAAGAAUUCAUAGCAGAGGCAGCAAACAAUUGAAGUAGAAUAACUAGCAUCCUCACAGGAACAUUUUAUGACUGCAACACUUCUUGAUGACAUGUUUGUGGACAGGUUUAUCUGAAGGUGAAGUUAUGCUGUGGUAUUGUGGCGUGUUAUUAUCAAUGUGACGAAUCUUUGAAAGCACAACUCUUGGGACUCCUGAGGUGAAGCAGUAGAAUCAUAGCAAUUUGCCUGAACCAGGAUCAUUACUACAUUAUUCUUUAGAUUUAUUGUUGUGACCCUGCAUUUUAAUGAAUGGAGCGCUCAUUUAACCUUGUACAUUGAGCUGCAAACAACAGGGAAAAGACUGUUAACUAUUUUCAUAGUAAGUUUAAUCUUAUGGCUUAAAAAUAUAUAAAUGCUUACUGUAUAUAAAAGUAGAUACAAAAGGUGGAAUAAAUUUGCUGGGCUGGUAGUAGGAUAUUCAUAUAAUUUUAAAAGUUUAAAAGAUAAUGAAAAAAAUUUGGUGUGGAAAAUAAAUAAAAUUGGGCAAGUGGCAUUUACGAGAGGCAGGGCAAAACAAUUACCAGUUGAAAAUCCAAGUUGAAGCUUUCUAAAUCCAUUUAUCGUCAACCAAAAUGCUCUCGAUGUGGGAAAUUUUGGGCCAAAUUUGUGGAUGUUUCAUGCUGCACCGUUCUUCCAGCAGUGGACAUUUAAUGAUUUUAAGUUUUGUUAGAGUAGCAGGCAGCCUUUCUCCCGCCAUAUUCUCCAGCUUGUAACAAUUAAAAAUUUCUAAUUUUUGGAGGGACGUGAGGUGGAAAAGCUCCGUGCAGUCCAACGUGUGCAAGCUUGACAUAUUGCGUAGCGUUAGAGAGGUAAGGGAGGGAGGCAGCAACGCAAAACCCUUAUUGGGGAAGGACUCCACACCAUCACAACUACCAAUUGUAAGAUGGGUGAGCAUGUCCAUCAAACUUAGAGAUGGGCUCCUCAUUAACUUCUCGCAUUUAUAUAUAACAAGUCUUCUCAAGCUAGGCGGCAUACCACCUUCACAAAACGUCUCCAUUUCUGGGCAAUCUCGUAUAGUCACACUUUCUAAAUUCGGGAGAAGAGUAUUUGCUUGACAAGGCAAUGACUUUAAAUUAACACACCUGUAGACAAACAAUUCUCUCAAGUUGGGCGCAGCCAAUCCAUCUCUUGCAAAUGAAACUAAUUUGGGGCAAUGGGAAAUGAAAAAUAUGUUGAGAUUUUGAAGAGUCUUUGAAGCGGAAAAACAUUCUAGAUUUUCACACUGGUGGAUGUCGAGACUACUGAGGUUGGGAAAGGUCUCCAGUGGGAAGAUUGUCAGAGAAUCACAACUACUAUUUAUAUACAACAAUUUAAGUGACUCGUGCUGCUGCUUUUGCUUUGGAAAAUCUAGAUUUUUACAAUCUGUGAUGGACAAACUCUUUAAGGAUGCGGGUAAACAAUCUCCAGGAAACGAUAACGCACACGAACAAUUGUUGAUAUUUAUAAUUUUCAGGGAAAUCGGUAGCGUGAUGGCAAUGAUUUCAAAGAAGGACUCCGUUGCCUCUCUUCCAUCAAUUUCGAUCUCUUCCAAUGAAAGGGGUAGCUCUCUCAAUGCUACUUUAUUGCUUUCACGUAUCUCUAUUUUCCGGAUGGCAGGAGUACAUGGAAGAGACGAAGCAAGUUGGUCGCAUUGUGAAAUCUGAAUUGUUUUCAAAGCAGGAAACUGAGAUGGCAAAUCUCCCCUCAAUAAGGGACAACCACUAAUCACAAGAGACUUGAGUACAGGAAAAUAUGCAUUUGGCUGAUGGGGAUGGUGCCACACUUCCCAACAUGGCAUGCCAUCAAAUCGAAGAUAUUCCAGGGAGGGAAAGANNNNNNNNNNNNNNNNNNNNNNNNNNNNNNNNNNNNNNNNNNNNNNNNNNNNNNNNNNNNNNNNNNNNNNNNNNNNNNNNNNNNNNNNNNNNNNNNNNNNNNNNNNNNNNNNNNNNNNNNNNNNNNNNNNNNNNGGUAGGAAGGAUCUCCAACCCAUUCUGGAAAUCUCGUGCCUCUAUAUCCACAUAUAGACACCUCUUUUAGGUUCUUGGCAGGUUGUAACUUGUCUAGUAUAUCCAUCUCACUUUGUGAAUUUGUAAAAUGGUCUUUUGCAUUAUCAGACCAUUCAAAAGAUAAUUUUUCAAGGUACUUUUUAUCCAUUAUUUUCGCUUGUGAUGCGUCAAAGUUGUUGCUAACAUUCUCUAAUUUACAAAUGCAAAGUAAUCCAUGAAGAUUUGACAGUGUUCCUAGUUCCUUUAUCCCAUUCUCUUUAUGCUUGCCCACAACAAAGCAACUCAAAUGUUGCAAAUGGUUUAAUUUGCUCAUUUCUCUAGGCAUAUCUUCUAACUUUGAAGUGUGGCGGAUAUCAAGAUAGCGCAAAUUCACAAGCUUUUGCAUGCCAUUGGGAAGUUUGAUUAGUUGAUAACAACCAUACAACUUCAAGGUUUGUAGAUUAUGCAGAUUACACAAUGACUCCGGUAGUGUCUUUAUAGUUGUGGAAGAUAGAUCCAAAUAACGCAAAUGAAUCAAUUCACCUAUCGAGUCAGGCAAUGCACUAAUAUCACAAAAAUUUUUAAAUGACAAAACUCUCAAGCACUUCAAAUUCGACAAAAUGAUGCAUGGUGCCUUUUCAUUAUUGAAUGGAGCACGUAUAAAAUCAAUUGUCAAAAAGGUCCUAAGAUGUUUUGCUCGGUCAAAAAUCUCAAAGUUAUCCGUCACUCGAUUACUUAAAUUGUUAAAUGAUAAAUGACGAGUCUUGUUACCGAUCUUCGUUUCUUUCCCAAGUUCUUCUGUUCUAAAGUAGAAUUCUGCCCCGAUCAAUGUUGCCAAAUCAUGCACCAGAUCAUGCAUCACAAAACGCCGGGAGCUGUUUCCACUUCCAAAACGUUGAAAAAAAGAUCUUGAAGCUAAGUCAUUAAAAUACUCAUAACCAACUUCUUCCAAAGUCUUUCCAUUUUUUGGAGGCUGUAAAAGAUCUUCUGCCAUCCACAACAAGAUCAAAUCGUCUGCAUGAAAUUCAUAAUCUUUAGGAUACAACGAGCAAUAAACAAAGCAGCGUUUCAAAUAGGGAGGGAGAUAAUGAUAACUAAUUCUUAGUGCUGGAAUGAUCUUACUCUCCUUUUCAUCAAUUUCCCAAAUAUUACUAUUGAGUAUAUUAUUCCAAUCCCUGAUGUCACGUUUUCGUCGCAACAAACCCCCAAGUGAUUGUGCUGCUAAAGGCAAUCCCUUACAUUUUCUAACAAUCUCUUUGCCAAUUUUUUCGAGAUCCAUAUUCUGAGUGGAUUUUUCUUGAGAAAGGCAAGCAUGGUUUGCAAACACAGACCAACAAUCCUCAUCAGACAAUUGCUCAAGAGAGUAGUAACCUUGAAAAGUUUGGACCAUAGAAACAACCUUUUCAAUACGGGUUGUUACAAGAAUUUUACUUCCUUUAGCUCCGUAUCGAAGAGGCUUUAUAAGAGAAUUCCAACUGUCAUAAUCUUCGGUCCAGACAUCAUCCAAAACAAUUAAAAACUUUUUUCUAGUCAUCUUAUCCUUCAUAUCUUGCUGAAGAAUAUUCAAAUUAUUUGUGUUACAAGCACUUCUAACUUCCUCUGCAAUGGCCUUUGUAACCUUCAAAACAUCAAAAUCAUCAGAAACACAAACCCAUGCUUGAACAUCGAAUUUCUGCUUUAUAAUUUCAUGGUUGUACACAGACUGGGCUAAAGUGGUUUUUCCCACACCACCCAUGCCAACUAUGGGGAUCACAGAAAUCUUAUCAAUAUCAUCAUCAUCACCAUCAUGUAACAGUAAUUUGAGUAUGGCUUCUAUGUCUUGAUUUCUACCAAAUAUGUUAGAUGAUCCAUGAUCUAGAGAGGUUGAUGGAGUUCUCCAAGAAGAGUGGUGGUGAGUUGCAAUAUGUUGAAGAUUAAGAAUAUCUUUAAGUUUAAGAAUGGAUUCAAGCCUAGCAACUAUAUCUUCCAACUUACGAACCAUAUCCCUUUCUUCAAAGUUGAAAAAGCUAGACAAGUAAGUAGUAGCAGUAGUACUCACCUCUUUAUUCUUCAGAGUAGUAGCAGAUUUGGUGGAAAUGUGAUCGAGAAGGUCAUCAGCAAUAUAGAGAGCAUCUUUGAGAUCAUGAAGCCAGUUGUUAACAGCAGAGUCUUUGAUCUGUUUCUGCUCAGCAUCAUUCAAAACAGCUUCAACAGCAUAAAGAGUGUUUUUCAACCUUUGGAUCAAAUUGACAUCAAGCUUAUUUCCAGUGAUGAAAUUAGCAAACUGAGGAGAAGCAAGCCUGUCGAGAACAACUUCAAUGAAAGCAGAGAGAAAAGCCCCACCCAACGCCGCCGCAUCCAUGAUUUAGAAAGAGAAGAGAAGUGAUUACAAAUCAGAGAACAAUGUUUAUUGCAGCACUCACUAAGGUCAAAUCGGCUCUUUACCAAACUGUGAUGAUUAUAUACGAUGUAGUCUAUAUUGUGUCACUCUUGCUUGGCAUGCUUAAUUUAUUUCCACUUGAGUCAAAAUAAGAAAACUUAACUUCACUCAACAUGAUAUUUCUUUAGUUUUGGCAUAGAAAAUCUUUAAAUUGCUUUCUAAAUUCACACACAUUUUGAGUUAUGAUUUAAGUAUAUCGUUAUUUUCUCUUACUUAAUCUUAAAUUAUAUAAAUAAAGUAAAUAAUAUCUAAAAGUAAUUUUAUAGUUGGUAUAAUUAAUGUAUAUAUUUUGUGUAUUGUUAUUAUAAAAUUGUCCAUUGUGUAUAUGUGUAUCUAAUGUUAAUUUUUACAUUCUAAGAUAAAUUAUUAUUAUAUUAAUAUCGAUAAGUUUUUAAAGAAAAAAAAACAGUAAAUGCAUUUAAUAAUUUGAAUAAAGCUUAUAUUUGGAGACAAAUAUAUAUUUCAACGUGUUUAUAAUUAGAGAUGAACAAAGUAAUUAGUAACAACUUCUAAUAAUUUUGAGUAGUGGCGUUUGCGAGGUAGUUUGAUUUUAUUGAAUUCAAUAUAUAAAUCGAUUGAAAGUACAUCAUUUAGUUUUAUUUAAAUUUUCACGUUUUUCGGAUACAUAAACAUACAAAUCUAAUAUUCAAUACUUGUCACUUAAAUUAUAUUAGUUCAAAUUUGGCUAGAUUAGUUUAAAGUUAAACCUCUUAAAAAAUUGUAUCACCUAAAUUAUACGAGUUCGAAUUUGGCUAGAUUAAUUUGAAGUGGAACCUCUUAAAAAAUUGUCCAACUCAAAGAACACCGUAUAAUUUGAAUUUUUGAGUUGGUUUCGUUUUUCAUGUAUUGUUACUCACCUAUAAUCUUUGAGUGUUUUCUUCUGUGAAACUUGAAUGCGUAAUACAUGUGCGGUUGCUACAGAAUACAUACAUGCGAAAUUUUUUAAAUUUAUAAAACAAUACUAUUUAAAUACGUCGAAAAAAUUAUUUACACAUAAAAUACUUAUAAAAAUAAUGUAUUGAUCCAUCUUUAUAAAUAUAUAUAAUUAUAACGAUAAUAAUUUUUAUAAUAUAUAUUAAUUCAUAUGUUAGAAUAUUAAUAAAAAUAUAACUAAAUGAAUUAAAAUAAAUAUUGAUUUUAUUUGAUAGUUAACAAUUUAAAUCUGUUUUAAUUGUCUCAUUCAUCAAAAAAAUAAUUUUUUGAAUUCAAAAGUAGUAACAACAUUUUAAAGUAGAUUAUAUACAUCUCAAUUGAUGUCUCAAAAAAAUUGUCAAAUCUUACUUAUUUCUUUAAUUUUCAUAAGAUACAUGUCCAUAAAUAAUCAUGAAAUAUCUCAAAGUAUAAAAUAAAUUAAUUUUUAUAAAUCAAAAUAAUAAUUUUAAUAAUUAUAAAACAUAUUUCAUAAAUAUUCGUAAAAUAUGGAUAUAGAAUACGUAUUCAAUCCAUAUUUUAAUGCAUCGUAGUAGCUUCAUAGGUUUUCUUAGCCAUCGAAAUAGAUGGAAAAAUCAAUUGGGGACUGGAAAUAUAAAUAAAUUUAAAUUCUAAAUAAAUAAAUUAUGAAGAGAGAAAAUUAAAAAUUAUUAUUUUAGAUGUACUUGUGAUAAUAUCUACUUUUAAUUUGAUAUUGAUCAUUAACAUUAUUCGCAUUACAUUCUAAAUAAACAACCAGCAAAGCAAAGAGCCAAACACAGCGCAACCUACAUCCAUCAAUCAAUUUCGUGGAAAAUCCCCAUUAGUGGCUUCAUCAAAACAUAAUAUUCAAAAAUACAUAUAUUUUCCUUUUCUUUUAAAAUCGUAAAUAUCCAUCGAGGAUUUCGUAUUAAUAGAAAACUCGUUCUCUCAACAACUCCGAUCGUGUUCAUCAAGAAAUAGAAAACACGCCAAUUGCGAAACCAGGCAAUUGUAGUAAUAAAUUAAAGCCAUAGUCUUAUUAUUACAUUAUAUCAUGUUCAUAGAUUAGAGUCCCAUUUUAUUUUAUUAUUAUUAUUAUUAUAAGAAAAAACGAUGCUUCCGCUUUUGAAGCUUGGAACACUCGCCUUGAAAACCCUCAGUAAACCAGUUGCCAGUAGACUCAAACAACAAGCUGCUCUUCAUCCUAGGUUUCGUCAACUCAUCGUUAAUAUGGCUCAGGUGUGUAUUUAUCUAUCAUUUUAAUUCAUCAAUUUAUAAGGGUUUAUAACAUAUGCACAUUAAUUUGUAUUAUUACUUGGAUGGUAACUUUGCUUAUACAUUUUAAUUAAUCAAAAAACAAAUUGAUGUUAUGAAUUAAAUAAAGUGUACCUUUCAAAAGGGAGAAAAAAUGAAGCUCAAAAUUCCUUGGUAGAUGUAAAUUAUUGCAAUGAGGAUGCUAACUGUGUCUGAUUCUGAUAUAUUCAUUAGUUUGAAAGUUUUUCGGUGCACUAUAAUAAAGUCUCAUAUUUAUGUGGGAAUUUUUGCUGUAGUGGAACAGAAAGAUUUAUGAAACGUGUAGUAACUAGUAAGUAAUUUUUUUCGCUGAAUUGCUAGGAGCUUUUUGUUUUGUGAUAACAAAAUGAUGCUAGUGUGAAAUGGAAUCUAUAACCGUGUUAAUGAUGGGGGUGAGAAUAGGAGAAUUAAAAGAGAUUAUGGAUGAAAGAAGUGAUAAGUUAAGCGAGGCCAAGUAGUUAAGAGUAGUUAUAGAAUUAGUUAGGCAGUUAAAGUUGUUGAGGGCAAGGGAUUAGCUUAAAUUGUAGGUGAGGUGUAUAAGAGGAAGGGAUUCAAAUUUUGUUAGUUCUAGGAAACUGAGGAAUGGUGAUGCUAUUGUGAAAGGGGAAAAGGGAAAAUCUUUGAAAGGAAAAUUCUCUCCAGGUCACUGCCAUUGGAAUUUGAUCUUUCUUGCCCUUGAUUUGGAAUCAUCUAAGAAGGAUUUUGAAUUGUUGUCUUACUGUGUGUUGGUUUUCUCCUUAUUUGGCCACAAAUUUGGCAUUUUGUGGGUGUGUUGUUCAUUGUCUUCAUCCACCUGUCCUGUAAUGGCCAAAUUCUCUCCGUCCCGUCCAUUUUCUUCCUAAUCUCUGCCUUAUUAGAAUCUAGAGAACUAAGUUGCACAUGUCCUAAAAAAAUUCACCAAAUUCUCCAAAGCUUCUAGUAUCAGUCCAUAUAAUCCCUGAACAGAGAUCUAACAAGUAGCAAGUCAAACCAAACUUCACCGAAUUUGAUUGGCAUUAAAAUAUUGAUCACAAAGAAAAAUUAACUUUUGGUUCAACUAUGCAUCUUAGUCCCUUGCUUGCAGUUAAACUUAAAACUUCGAUGUUUCCUUCUGGCUUUUAUUCUUCUCUAUUCACUAUGGCAUGUCCUGUUUUAAAUGAUGCAGUUUGUGAUCUGCUUUUUGAUUUAGCUAUAACUGUUUUAGAGAUCAACCAUUUUAAGUACUGGCUGUAGGCAAGUUUGUACGCUGACCCUGGGUGUAAAGUUUUUUUAAUAACUACAUUGGAUGUAAAGUAAUGAGAAACUAUAACAUUAUUUUUCUUACAUUAUAAAUUUUGAAACAGGCUAAUCAUCAAAUCACAACGAAGAUGCAAAGACGUAUAUAUGGCCAUGCAACGGAUGUUGAGAUUCGCCCUUUGAAUGAGGAAAAAGCUGUUCAAUCUGCUGUAGACCUUAUUGGAGAACUCUUCGUCUUCUCGGUAAUAUGGACUAAAAACGUGGAAUUGGUGAAAGCUAUUUUACUUAUUUUUCAUUAUUAUUGAAGACACCAAUUUAAUUUAUGUGGCCAAUUAUAACCAUUCACUUGAAGCAAGUUAACUUUGUUGGUCUGCCACAUGCUGCUUGGUGAUAUAGAAUUUUGCUAAGAAAAGUAAUAAUUAAAAGUUAUUCUGUACAAUUGGACAUGAUUAACAAAUCUGUGUCCUAGACUCUAGUUAAUUCCAUAGAUCAAGCAUGGUAUGUGUAAAAUUUGAAUUUCUAACGAUUGCGUUUUGAGGUAAAAUUACAUUGAAUGAAAAAGCUUUGCUGUUCUCCCUGUUUGUUCUUUUGAUUUCUGAGGUAUAAACAUUGUUGGUAGUUACUGAAAUUAUGAAACUUGGCAUUGAACUCUGUACUUGAUGCAAGUUUUUAUUUCCGACAAGUGAGUUGGUAAGAUGUAUCAUACUAUCAUGUAUGUAUACUCUUGAGUUAAACUAUUAUAAGUUAUGGUCCUAGUACACAAAAACAAGUUACCUUGUAUACAGUCACUCUUUUUGUCAAACUCAUAUCAUGUUUCCUGAAAACAGAGUUAGUCAAUUUUGUUGGUUACUUGAGUUGAGUUGCCUCCGUUACAUAAUAUGUUUAUAUUCAUGAAUUUAAUUUUAUGUUUUCAUUAUUAUUUUGUUCUUCUUUUUCACUUGACAAAAUAAUAGUGUAGAGCCAAAUACAGCAUACUUGCUGGGGGUCAGGAAUUGAGUUAUAUAUUUAAUUUAUUUCUUAAAUUGGAUUUGUUAUUAGGUUGGAAUGUUAAAUACUAAUUAUGAACGUGUUAUUAUUUAAUUAUGUUUGGCUAUUAAUAUAUGUUAUUUAAGAGUAUUUUUAUAGCAUAUUUACUUGUAUGAAAACUUUGCCUAGAAGUGGACAAAAUGAAAGUAGAGAGUGGCAAAUUGAUAGCUCAAGUUGAAAUGAUACUUCCACAGAGUUCACAUUUUCAUGAAAGGAAGAUGUAACAUUUUAAGGAUGGAAAAUUCUUGGAACAUUUUUACAAUGAAAAAGCCCCCACCCCACAAGUAAAAGACCCAGACCCUGUUAUUGACUCUCAGUCUCAGACACGACAUGAGAAUAUAAAUCAUUUUGUCAGAAUGACUCGUGUGCAUAGUCACAUGUCUUGUCCUUGAUUGUUUGCAUUUGUACUGAUUAUAGGUUGCAGGUGUUCUCUUGAUCUUUGAGGUACAAAGAAGUGCUAGAUCUGAAGCACGUAAGGAGGAGUUACGAAAGCAAGACCUAGAGGUGAUUUCAAAUAAUCUUCUAUUAUAGUACACAUAUUUUUGACAUCGUGUUUCUCCUUUAGUUCAAAACUUUUCAAGUUUUCUCUGUCUUUUGUUUAUAUAUGAUUUCCUCUUAACUUUAAUUAUCUUAUUGCAUUUCUUAAGUUCCUAUGCUAAAAUAUUACAACUGUCGUAUGCUACCCAUUUUCUAACACCCAAGAUUGUUACACCAAUUGACACUUUGUGCUGAACAUAGGAAACCAUCUGACAGCUCAUGUAGUCUCAUCUCAUGCUUGGUUUUAAUUUUUAAUAUUUCAGAUUAACACCCAACAAAGUCCUAAAAUUUUUAACCUGACUAUUUAUAGUUUUGCUUGUAUGGCCUUAGUUAGAAGCAAUGCAACUGUUUGUCCAGUCUUUGUGAAAUAAAAGUUAAUUUCUAGAACUGCUGAACAUAGGUUAUGAUACAUGGCUUCAUAUAUUUGAAGAUACCAAGAUACCUGAUUACUAUGUUUUCAGCUUUUGAUCAAUUUAAACCCUACAUUAUUGUUGCCCAAAGGUUGCGUAAUGCUUUUUUAAAUAAACUUUUGAAAUAUUUAAAUUGACAGUCAUGCUGAAUCUGAGAAUGAAAACUUCUAUCUAAUAGUGGAUUGUGCUAGACCAUCUGUGAAAAGGAAGCAGGAGAACUGUAUCAAUGCUUUUGUCAACGUGCUAUGUUUCAAAUGUAUAUUGCUAUUUGCUACAAGUCUAAAUUAACAUGCUUAAAUUGAGGGGUAUAUUAAGGCUUGGCCGUUUAUUAUAUCUAAUUAUCUGAAUUAGGAUUUGUAGAGCUUUACUGUCAAAGAAAAUGUGGUUUAUGUUAAAAUUGCAACUUGUUCUCUCCUUAUCCGUAUGAUCAUUGUCAUUGCCAUCGGUUCCCAUUUAAGUCUAACUGAGAAAAGUUAUUUAUUAGUCAAGUUUUGUUAUACAAGUUAUCAUUGUUCGUUUUCUUUAGGCUAUGAGGCAAAAAAAUGAUGGCUUGGCAGAAGAAGUAGAACUUCUUAAGCAUAGACUUCAAGAACUGGAACAGCUGGCCCGGGGACGAGGACUCACUGGUAUUCUAAAUUUCAAACACAUUAUUAAUAACGAAAAUGGAAAGGCGGAGAAAACUGCUUGACCUGAUGAAAAGAAUAAUUACUUUUCACAUUUUUUUUUCAUUUAUCUUUGGCAUUAGUAUAAUUCUCACACAGUUUCUGAUUCGUUUGAGGAUCUGGUCAACAAGAAUUUUUUUUGACUAGUUUCAAACUUCAAAUUCUCUAUUUGUAUUGAGGAUUAGAUUUCUCACUGAUUGAAAUAUUCUUAUUGUAUUAGUCAAAAUAAACUGCAGAGACUAUAUUUUUUUGGUGACAAAGAUGUGACUCCAUCUGAUGAGUGGAAAGUUUAUCAUAUCAAAUGUACCAUUUACCUUAAGUCCACAUUACAUUCCUUAAAAACAUUUUAUUUUUCACGUGUUCACUUUCUCUUUCAGCAUAAUUGAAUGAUUACACAGGCUGGUGAUUGCUGAAUAGCAAGGACCUCAUGUCCUUAUUCAUUUAAACAGGCUCUAGAAUCUUCGUUGGAAGCAGUUUUAUGCUUAAGAUGAUGAUAAUCUUUUCAAAAAAAGAUGACAGCGAAAAUCAUUUUAGCAUGUAAUGUGUGACAUCAAUUGAUUGCAAGCACAACCAGCCACCAACCACCCUUUUUUAUGUUUCCUUCUGAGAAAAAAAAAGGGUAGAGUAUUAUGAGUUUAUGACCAUGGCAUGUGGCUGGUCUGAGUGAUUAAAAACAUUUUUUUUAAGGACAUGGGAUGCAGUUUAUCUUAAACAGGCAUUAUAUGCAUUAAACAGUCUUGUAGCAGCAAAAUUGCUCUAUGUUUUUAAUCUGUUUCAGAUAGAUUUUCAACUGUUUGUUGAAGAAACUGUGAAAAGCUUUCUGCUCAAUUCAGUUUCUUAGUGAAAGCAUUAGGGUCUAUUUACUUUCUUUGUUUCCUUUUUCAAUUCCAACAUAAUCUACCACCUUAACAUGCCAAGCACAAUAGCUUUUGAAAAGUUUUAUUUUUAGUUUUAAAAAAAGAUAUAAUUUAUUUUUGAAAUUUGGUAAAUGCCAAAUGAACUUUUUUUAGUAUUUCCAAAAUACAAACUCUUUAAUUUUCCCUGAUAAAAUUGUUUACUGCAGUAAAUAGAUUUUGAUACCAUUGAGUUUACAAUACUUACACGUUUAACACGCCGGCCACUUGUAUUAGACUUUGAUGGUAUUAUUCUUUUGUCUAUGACAAGAUCAAAUCAAUUUCAAUAAUGUUCUUAGAAAACGUAUAUAUCCUAAUAUUUCUUUUAUAUAUCUCUUAUCAUGGUAGAAUCGUGGUACUUAACCUUUAAGUACAGGGUUUAGUUUCCACAUUACAUAAGUAAAAAUUUGUUAAAUUACAAUGUAAGGAAAACAAUUUCAAGUUUAUCCAUUCGUUUCUUUGGAGGAGCCUUUGGUUUUGGUUGCCUCUUUCCCAUAGCUCAAAUCCUGUUUUUGAUACAAAUAACAAAAGUAUGUAAAUAAUUCCCUGAAAAAAAAAAGUUAUCAGCAUUCCAUAAAUUUGAAAAUGCAGGAAGUGCACACACACAAACAACUCUCGGAGUUCCAUACAACAAUUGAACUUACCCACCAACUGACAUUUUUCACCUGUCAAUACUUUUCCAAUACUAUUUUCUCUCCAUUUUUUUUAAUGUGGCAUAGAAAUAUGAAAUAGAAACAUAAAGUAUGUAAUUAUGUGUUUUUGUUAGUGUUUUCCGAUAACAUUUAAUUUGAGAAAAAAUAUCAAAAUUUUAGUAUCGAUGUCUAAAUAGUGGAUAAACAAUUUAUAUAAAAAAUUCGGUAAUUGUUAUCAUCACCUAGAGAAAGAAAUUGAAGAAAUUUGCAGAAAAGAGUUAACCCUUUUUCUGUUUGUCUCAAAUUUUCAUAUAAAACCAUAAGCUACCAAAAAAUAGAGAAGAGAAUUGAAUAGAGUAAUGGGAAAUGAGAAAGGGGAAGAGGGAUAUAAGAGAAUAGAGAGCAUAUGAAUUAUGAAUACUUUUUAGGGAAAAUAUUUUUUUAAUUACUCUUUGGCCCCUUAAAUAGUUCAUAUAAAAAAAAAGAAGUAAAUUACAAAUCAUAAGAAUUAUUUUAAAUAUUUACAUCAAAAAUAAAUUUUAAAAUUUAAUUCAUAAAUAUCUAAAAUUAUUUUACAUUAUCAAUCAAUUAUAAUCAUUAGAUCAUUGCUAAUGAAUAAUUAUAAUAUGCUGAUAGUUAAUAUGUGACAAUUAACCUUCAACUUUUAAAUAUAUUACUUUCAUAAAAAAAACUUUGAGUUAUUUUUUAUAAUUGUUUUUCUUUUUAAAUAUUUUCAUUAUGGUUAAGGAACUCGAAAUCGAUUCUCAUUGAUAAAAAAAAUUCUAAAAGUUAUUCUUCAAAUUAUUCAACAUCAUAAUCACUGUUUUGAUAAUAAUAACAGAUAAGCCAAUAUUUGUUUGGGUCAAGAAAAGAAAGAAGCAGAGGAUCCAUAACAUUCGAAUGAAAUGCCCAGCCCAACAAGAAGGAACACAACAUUUCUCUCUCUCUCUCUCUCCAAUGGCAACUGCCAUGGCCACUGUAGCAACAUCCACCACCUCACUGUUCACCCCUUUCGUUCCCCUCCGCUCUAACUCCAAAUUCUCACUAUUCUUCCCAACGCUUCACUUUCCCAACUCCAAAUACUCCAUCUUUGUCCUCUCAUGUUCACCUCCGAAGACAAUUCCGGUGACGGAGCAACAAGUUUUGAAAGCAAUUGCCGAUUCAUCAGACCAAAAGAGACUCCCUUGUGUCCGAACAUUCGAAAAUGAUUUGUCUCAACUCACUCUCGUCGGAGCCGUUGAUUUCCGUCAGGCUGUAACGGCUGCUGCCGCUGAUGGCGGUGAAGUUGCCUCUGAACACAUUGACGCCAGUAUGGAUGCCAUGGUUGUUGAAACCGUUUUUCCUGCUUCUUCUAGUGACCAUGGCACUGUAUCUACUCGAUUGGUACCUUCUUUUUUAACUUUGUUAUGAAUUUGUCAAUUUUUUAAAUGAAACUCUCUAUGAUUUUGGGGUUAUUUAAAAAUGUACUUAUAGGUUAUGUUAUUACUUUAAUAUUAUAUCUAGUACUACAACUAGGAGGAAAGUGAGUGACAUUAGAGCUGAAAAAACAUAAGCAUACUUUUGUAAUGAGGAAAUAAUGAUGUAAAUAUAUUUAAGGUGCAUAUGUGUUUCUGUUGCAUCAUGCAUUUAUGUAUUUUAUUUUUAUCAUCACAUAAUUGCAGACCGCAUCGGUGUUGUCGACAGUGGAUGGAGGUCCAUGGCAGCGAUGGCUAAAAUCCGCUAUUUUUUUGUCUACAUGUCCGCCAUAGCCAACAUCAUGUGUGAAAUGGCCAUUGAUGAAAUCCCGCCACCAAUAUCCGCCGUGGCUUCCAUUUGAUAACACUGGCUGCAAUUGUGUGUAGGGAUGAGAAUAGGGUGCACCGAGCUAGACUAUUGCAUAAAUUGGUCUAUUAAAAAAGUUCAAGCUCCAAGCCUAACCUAUUGUCAUAAGCUUGAUCUAAUGCUUAAUUUAUUUAAAAGAUUUGCAAGUAUAUGAUUUAACACAAUAUACAAAAUCUAAUAUAAUACUCCCUCUGAUCCUAAAUAUAAGAGAAAAUUAGGUCAACAAAAGAUGAUGUAUUUGGUCCAAUGUUUUUCUUAUAUUUAGGAUUGGGGGGAGCAGUAAUAAUAAUAAAAUGAUUAUUGACUUAAAUAGGUUAGCUUGUUCAGUCUAAAAGGCUUUUUGGGUGGCUUGAAGCAUGAUCUUUUUAGCUAUACAUGUUUCUAAAAAGUUUUGGUCUUGUCUAUUAAGAAGGAAACUUAACCUCACUUGGGGCCUGACAUAGAAUAGGCCUUACGUCCCUUUUUGGCAACAUGGCUUAUUCCAACUUGUAGUUGCGGGAUAUGUUUGGCACACUGUUUUGGAGACAUUUUGUGUAAUUUAUAUGUGUUGUCUUUGGUAGUAAGUAGAAGCUUUUCGCAAUGCCAAUUUGAGAAUUGAAUUUCAAAUGUUGUUGUUUUGGCAGUUUUUACCUGCUAGGAAAGUUAAAGAAAAGGCUGCUAAGCUCAGAAAGUCUCUCUCACAAGAUAUGUUUUCCAACACUACAUCUAGGAAUGUACUGGCUAUGACCUUUAGGCAAGUGGUUUUGGAGCAGAUUUGGAACUUUGAUCUCAUUGUCUUUCAACCAGGAGAAGAACGAAAAAUGGAAGAUCUCGAAAACCCGAGAGAGGUUUGUUACUUUCUCUUCCCUUGAUUUUUUAUAAGUUUUAUAUCUACAUUGCUUUUGUAAAUCGUAAUGUCAUAUUAUGAUGUCUGUCGUGCAGGUGACCCUGAUACUGAUACGUUCGGUUCUUUUUAUGCAUUUAAUAUGAGCAGGUUCCUGCGUCUUUCACUCUCAGCUCAUCCGAUGAAUAUCUUAUGUCCGUGCUUGCAGAAGUUGUUUGCAUCUCUGCUCUCCAAAACACUCAAAGGCAAUUUCUUGAUAAAUCACAGGGUGGAAGUAGAAGUGGUUUCUUUCGCUGGUUUCAAAAGCCUGAAAGGAUACAAUCAAAAGAUUCUGCAGUCAUCUUGCACAAAUUAUUUGAAGAUGAAAUAGUGGAAAAUGCAAAAAGUCUAUUGGAUAACUAUCAUUUAAUGAAGGAUGGACUCAAGCCUGUGAAAAUAAAAUCAGGGCCUUUCUGGUGGAAGCCUUCCUGUUAUGAAAAAUUAGAGAAAAUUGGUGGUUCUGAUUUCAGUGCUUGGACAAGUGAGUAUGUACCUGUAUAUCGGUUAGAGGUUGACACCAAGAUAAUGGGAGAUGCAAAAUUUCAGGGCUGGAAGAAAUCUUCAGAUAAUAGGUGGGAAGUUCUUUUGACCCACUCCCAAAUGGUACUUUAUCUUUUCCUUUUGCAUUUACCUUUAUACUAUUGGUGAUAAUUUCUAUUUUUGAUUAUUAGUAGUUGUGUCUCAACUGUUUAAGUAAGUUUCGCAGUGGACUUCAAUUUUUGUCCUCAGUUUUAUUGAAAAGACCUUUAGCCUUGGUCAAAUAUUCAUGUUUACAAGUUGCGAGUUGUUAGUUUGCCAGAUGAGAGUGCCUUCAAAGUAAGGGGUAACAUAACAUACAUAUAUGUAAAGAACAAAAAUAAUGAAGGGGAGACACAACAUGAACCUCUCUUAAUCAUUUAUGAUUUACUCGUCGGAGGAGCAAAUAAGAAAAAGAGAAACAUGGGCAGUGUUUAAAAUUUUCUUAAAGAUUUUGGAUAAUAUUCUGAAAUAUAAAAAUAAAUUUGGAAAGUUUCAGAAAACUUUCUAACUCGGUCAGGUUCUUAUCUUAGUGAGCGUUUGAUAAACAUAUUAGAAUAGGACAGAACAGUAUGUUUUGUUCUAUGUUUGAUGAAUACUAAAAGUAUAAUAUAGUAGUAUGUAAAGUACAUUUUAGUCACCUUAAAGAAAACAGAAUAGAACAAGUCAUCCUGUUCCAUCUGGUCUGUGUGCCAAACACUACCUUAGUGCUGACUUCUACGUUUUGUUUGGAAAGUUUGAAUAUGGUGGCUUUCGUUCAAUACUUCGAUAUUGCACUGUUAAUUAGAUUUUACUUGUUUCCUAUACUCUAUGCUAUAGAAGGGUGUACUGCAUAGUGCUUAGGGUCACCUAAAGUUAUGUGACAACUGUGUUAUCAAUAUCAUGCAUUCGAUAUGUAUACAUUAUGUUACAAGUGUAACGAAAUUGCAGGUUAGUUUGGCAGAAACGCUAGAUAUGUACUAUGUUGACCCCUAUUCUCUACCUGAUAAGGACUUAUCCUGUGGAGUGGUGGCCGAGUAUGUCAACGUCUCCAGUAGAAAGGUACGUCUGUUAUUUGUUUGUUAAAAUUCACUCAAAAUUUAGCAUUCAAAACACUUGAUUUACAUGGUAUUAUAAAAUCCACAGGAAUUUUCUUCUGGCGUGGCUGCCAAACUUUCCAAAGUCUCAUAAAAAAGUAAUCAAGUGUUCGUUAUUUGUUAUUUAUAGUGUUGUAAAAUAGCAGCUAUAGCCUAUAUGGCAACAGAAUUUAAACAAAACACUGUUAUUUUUGCAAUAUGUGAUUUUGUACAAAAUAUUGUCUAAUAGCGGCUAUAGAGGUGCUUUAGCAGUGUUGCGUAGUAGAAUUUGAAGAAAUCACUAUUUUCAGUGAUCUAUGAUUGACAACACUGAUUAUAUAAGUGUUUCAACUCUCUUAAGUGUGAGAGGAAGAUAAAACUACAUGAUAAGCUGUCUUUCUAUAUCAAAAAUUAGUCUUCUAAUGAUCUCCAUGUUGUCAAGAUCAUGGUGUAAAAACAUUUGGGAGUUUAGGAGGGAGGGAAGGGCUUUGGAGAAUAGGAAGGAAGAAAGGGAAAGUGAAGGAAGGAUAGUCCCCCAACUUGAAUGGGGGAUUUAAUUUUCUUCAUAAUACAAAAUCCCCCUAUAUUGGGAGAACUCAAAAAAUGUAUUGGAUGAAGAAUUUGGAGGGCUUAGAUAAAUUCUUCAAAUCUUUUUUCACCUCUUUAUUAAUAAUCUCAAAAUUAAAAGUAUAUUAGUCAUAUACAUCCCCUUUUCAUUCUUUACAAAACCGCUCUCUCAAAUAAAGUGGAAUAUUUCCCUCUUUCUUUCUCUCUCCUUCUCUCUUCCCAAAACCUCCCCUCCCCUCCAAACUCCUAAACAGAGCCUUAAUCUAUAUUUUUUGCUCAUGAGUUGGUUUUUUGUUAUAGCUCUGUUGGGAUAGUGUAUCUUGGCAUUUAGCUGAUUGGCGUAUUUGUUUGUAGGGGAGUUAUUUAUCCAAAUUUUUGUCCGUCACCCUUGCAACUGGCAUGUUUCUUGUAGCGAUCAGUGCUCUUGGUCAAUUUUGGCUGCCUCGUUUAAGCAAGGAAAGGAAACACCCUGUAGAACAUAGGUCUCUACCUACAUCUGAAGUCAAUAUUAUGCAUGACAUUCUGGAUGCAACAAAGGUGUGCUGUCUAUCCUUUUUCUUUUAUUCAUUUUAUUAAUAUAUGCAAAAUUUGCAUGUUGUUUAGGAAUGGAUAAAUACAAUGUUCAUUAUAAACUAGCUACUUAUACUGUUCUUUCUUUUAUACAUUGUUUCUUUCGUACAAUGCAAUAUUGUCAAAUAUCUGCUAUAAGCGGCGCUAUAGCACAAUAGUGUUGUAGAGCUUGAACAAAACGGAAGCGCCAUUAUUUUUGCGAUACACUAUUUAGUACAAAGUGUUAUCAAAUAAAGGUUAUACCGACCCUAUAGCACUGUACCGUAGCAAAAUUUGAACGAAGUGUUAUUUGCUAUAAUCUGUGAUUGACAACACUUGUACAAAGGUUAUAUGUCAUGUUAGGUUAGGGUCUGUUCCCACAUUCCCUGUGGCAUAAGUUGUAUUGUCUGUGUAACUGUUUACACUUUUUAGUGCUUUCUAUUUCUUUCUGAGAAGUCCUUUCUUGAAUCUUUUACAUGGAUAGGUGGAAGAGUUUUGCGUGCCAGCUGUUGCUAAGGUGAAGGAUGCUUUUGGCUGGUCAGAUGAAAUUAAAGUAGAUGGUAUCGGUGCCUGGAUUGGAGAAUUACCGGCAUAUUUGAGAGGUGAUGGUGUUGAUACACUUUCUACUUCUUCAGAGGAUAUAGAUGCAGAUGUCAAAGUGUCAAUGCAGGAUAUUGCUAGUUACCAGGUAUUCCAUAUUUUCAAAAUAUUGUAAUACAUCUUUGGCUUCCGUGUUAUUUUUGUUGCAAAGUUAAAGCAUGACUAAUCAUUGGGAUUUUAAUUUCACAAGCUAUUAGAGGCUCCUGUACAUGGAGGAAAAGGUGUGAUGUGUGUGUCUUGUAACUCUUGUUUGCUUUGUGUUAUUCAAUUUAUGUGUUGUUUGUUGCCCUUUUAGGUGGUUUUCUCUAGUGAGGGGAAGAUAGUUGGUUUUCAACCCUUGAGUCGAGUGGCGGUUAAUCAGUGGGCUGAUAAUCCUCUGGCAAGGGAGCUGUAUGGAGGGAAAAAGCUUUCACCGGGUAACUUCUUAUUGCUUUCGAUUUUCGAUGCUUAAUGUUACUGAAGCUGUUAACUGUUCUCUUGGAUUAUUAUUUUAUCAAACAGGUAUCAUUGAACCAGGUCUCAGGGUUCUCCUUCCAGAAAAAGUUAUUGUUGUAGAGUUGCUCAUGUCAGUAAAACCAGAUGUCUAUUUUGCAAUGGCCAGGCCAUAUCAGUGAUCCUUUUCUUGGUAUAUAUAAUAUAUAUUCAACAAGGCUAGAAGUUUGUUUUUUUGGGGGGUGAAACGUUAGAAGAUUGUUGGUCUUUAGUAUAUUGGUUUUAAGAAUAUAUAUGGUAGCUCAUUCUCUUGUAAGGGUAGCACGUCUAAAGCUUGUUCUCAAUUGUUUGUGACGACUCCAAAUUGUAUUGAAUAUUUUAUUGAGUUAGAAAUGCAAUAAUAUUUUUGUAAAAGAAAAAUUAUAGUUCCCCCAAGAGAAUUUUUUUAAGGCACCAGAAGUUAUGCCUUGAGUUUAUCACUUUAUUAAACAGGUGUCCUAAAUCUUUUCAUCUUUCUUUGUGAAAAAUCGAAAACCCCUUCCACCAUAUUUGUCCCGAUAAUUUGAAAGGUAGAAGAAAAUAGGGAGGAUAAAAUGUAUAUAUAUCCAAAAUAUGGGAGUAAAACAAAUAAGAAUUCCUGUACUAAAAAAAAAAAGAAAGAAUUCAAAAUAAUGGAUUGAUAGAUAAAAGUUCAAAAUAAGGAUUUCCAUGAAUUGUAUUGCAUAUAAUUGUCAGAUCUAAAUAAAAACCUAAAUGAGACAUAGCAGUUGAAGGUAGUGAGAGUGAGACAGUCUGGCAAUUAAAUUUUUUUGAGUGAACAGUGAAUUUGCGAUUUUAAAUUGUAUAGGCCGGAUUUUAUCGCCUAAAAUCUAGAAAUAGAUAAAUAAAAUUCUUAAAUAGAAUGAAGUCAAUCAAAAUAGUCUCUAUGCUAGUUUGACCUCUCAAUGAUGUCGAAAUUGCUUGAUUUAAUAAACACGUCAGACAUAGGUUAAAUUGUCCGAUUUGGUAAACACGUCAUCAUAUAGGGGUUAAAUUGACCGGCCGAUUUUAUAAACCAAUUCGAAACUCAAAAUUUUUAUUAUCCCUUUAUAAAAUACUUUUUUGUUCAUCUUUUAUGAUUUCAAACUUCUUCUUCCAAGCACCUUAAUUUAUAUAAUUCAUUUUUCUCUAUCUUAUUUGGUGUUCAAAUCUCAUAAAAUGAAAGAAUAAAUAACCACUUAUUCUUUUCUCUCUUUCAUAGGUGAAAACUUGAACUUGACAAUUUUCAAAUAUCAUAGUAAAAGAAAAGUUGUUGUUAGAGUUGCUUCAACAAAGAAGAACUUUGGAGCACAUUUCUUUUCAUGUUUAUUGCCAAAGGUAAUUUUUCCGAUUUCGUUUAUCCGUUUUCUCAUUUUUUGUUUUUUCCUUUUCUUCAUUUUUGUUUCCAUUAUUCCUUCAAUUUUGUACCCCCUUUUUUUUUUACUAUUAUAUCUCAAAUUUCUUUUAACUUUUGCGGGCGGUAAGAAAAUUUGAGUAAAUGGAUGGAAAUUUAAUAAUUUAAUAAAUUUUUUAAACUGUCACAUCAGAAGGUUUCAUCCAUGUCAAACUCAUUAACAAAUAAAUCUAACAGAAGGAUUAAUUUGUUCAAUGUCAUUCAAUUUAAAAGAUUUAGAUGUAUGUUUUUGAAUUUCAUAGGAUAAAUGUCUAUCUCUACAAUUUCAAGAAAUAAAUUGAUUAUCUCGAAAAAGUUUCGACUGUAUUUAGUUUUUUAUUUAUCUAAUUUUUUUAAUUAUAAAUUAUACUAAUUCAUUUUCAACAAAAAGAAGGGAAAAUACUUGUUUGAUCAACAACAUAAAUAAAUAAAUAAAUAGUGUUUGUGUGAGUGUGUCAAACAACUAUUUAUCUAUGGUUGUGAACAAAGACUAUUUCUCUAUCAAAGGAAUGAGAAAGAUUAUGAAGAAACCACUUCCAUAGAACCAAAUAAAUAUCACAACUUUCAAAAACAUUGGAUGUAUUUAAAAUGAUUAAGGUGUAGAAACAUUGAAUUCAUUUUCCCAUCUCACAGUAUCUCUACUUUAUUUUUCAAAGAGAUUAUCCAUGCAAUUCAAACCACUUAAGCUCUUAACUUAGCAAGUGUAUCACAUUCAUGUGAUUUCAGAUUGAUUGCAUAGCCUUGAUUCCUUUUAAUCAACCAUGGUUGCCAACAUAUUUCAUGUUGCAAUGUAUCCAUGGUUUGCAUUAGGCCAUCUUACCUCAUACCUUCAUAUAUCCAACAAACUUGCUGAGAGGGGCCACAAGAUUUCAUUUCUCAUGCCAAAAAAUACUAUAUCCAAAUUAGAGCAUUUCAAUCUCCACCCAAAUCUCAUCUCCUUCAUUCCAAUCACCAUACCACACGUCCAUGGCCUUCCUCUUGGUUCUGAAACAACUGCAGAUCUUCCUUUCUCACUACACUCCCUUCUCAUGACUGCAAUGGAUCUCACUGAGCCUAUAAUUGAAGAUUCCCUAAGAGAACUCAGACCUCAUAUGGUCUUCUUUGAUUUCACAUAUUGGUUACCUGCAUUAGCAUGUCAGUUAGGCAUUAAGGCUUUACAUUACUGCACAAUUAGCCCUGCCACUGUAGGAUAUCUCAUAAGCCCAGAAAGAAAACUUCAUGAAAAAUCAUUGACAGAAGCUGAUUUGAUUAACCCUCCACCAAGCUUUCCACCAUCAGCAAUUAAGCUACAACCUCAUGAAGCAAGAGGGUUAGCCACUUCUACUGUAAAUGGUUAUGGCAAAGACAUUUCAUUUAUGGAGCGUCAAUUGAUCGCUUUCACCAGCUGUGAUGCUAUCGUUUUCAAGACUUGCCGAGAAAUGGAAGGCCUUUAUUGUGAUUAUCUUGAAAGGCAAAUGAGAAAGCAGGUGUUUUUGGCAGGACCAGUUUUUCCAAACCCACCAACCUCUACUUUAAAAGAGAAAUGGGUGACUUGGCUAGGACGUUUCAAACCAAAAACUGUGAUUUUCUGUGCCUUUGGAAGUGAAUGCAUUUUGAAGAGUAAUCAAUUUAAGGAACUGUUGUUGGGUUUUGAACUUACAAAAAUUCCUUUUAUAGCCGCCUUGAAACUGCCUAUAGGAGCUGAAACGAUUAAAUCAGCUUUUCCUGAAGGAUUCAGUGAGAGAACAAAGGGAAGAGGGGUAGUUGAAGGGGAUUGGGUUCAACAACAAUUGAUUCUGAGUCACCCUUCUGUGGGUUGCUUUGUAACCCAUUGUGGAUCUGGGUCAUUAACAGAGGCCAUGGUAAAUGAAUGCCAAUUGGUCCUUCUACCUCAUGCAGGAGAUCAAUUCAUUAAUGCAAGAAUAAUGAGUGGAGAUUUGAAAGUAGGAGUAGAGGUUGAGAAAUGUAAAGAAAAUGGACUAUUUACUAGAGAAGCUGUGUGUAAGGCAGUGAUGGAUGUAAUGGACAAUGAGAGUGAAUUGGGUCAUAUGGUGAGAACCAAUCAUGCUAAAUGGAGGGAGUUCUUACUCAGUAAGGGGCUAGAAAACUCCUACGUGGAUAAUUUGGUUCAGAAGCUGGACAGUUUGCUAAAGUCUUGAUUCAAAAAGUACCAAGUAUCAUGAGAGAAUACAAUUAGAUGAGUGUCAUAUUUUAUAGAUUUUUUGGUUUGGUGUAUAACUUGAACGUUUCUAGACAAAAUAGAAAAAUUAGAUUCUCCUUGUUUGAAAGUCUAUCCCAAGCUAUAAAUAUAAAUGUGAUUGACAUACAAAAGUUUAAUACUUCUCUCAUAUUUCAAUUACAGGAAAUAUAGUGUUUUCCAAAUAAAAUAGCUAAAUACAAAGGCUGAAAGUGUUGUAGCAUAAUCACAUUCUUGAACUUCUUAAAUGCACGUUAAGAGACUAAAAAAUGCAUGAAACAGAGGAAAGCUGUUACUUGAUCCUUCAAUGCAAAUAAUAUAAGUGUAUCGCGUAAUGCCUAAGAAUAAUUAGUUAUCAUUACAAGGAGAUCAAAGUUGUUAUUGGUGAUCCUAUGUUAGUGUUACUCAGAACUCCUUUGCCGCUGAAGCUAGGAUUUUAGAAGGAGUGGUUGUGCUGAUAUGUGUACAAAGUUAGUCAUCGGCGUCGAUUCGACGAUUUGAGUUUUGAGAGAAAUUCGUUUUCUCUUAUUUUUAUUGAAUUUACGUCGACCUUAUCAUUGUCUCAAUAGUAGAAUGAUUUGCAGUUACAUAUAGACAUUGCAUUUAGGUUGGAGUCUUUGUGUUGAAAAAUAUGUGGUGUGAAUAUAUAUGUAUAUAUUUAGAUGUCGUUACUUGAUAUAUAUACAAUUUGUUUAUACUAUAUAUGAUUUUUGUCAUGUAGUUCUAUAUAUGUUAUUUUCGGAUUGAUGUCCCUUACUGUUGAUUUGUUUGAGCUAUAUGCCGCCCCUUUAGUUGAUGAAGAUGCAAGGAAAUACGAUACCGUGCCGUUGGAGGUUUCGAAAUACUUUUGUACUAUUAUUAAACUUGUUAGGAGAGUUUUUGAUAAGUGCUCAAAGUUGUACGAGAUAGGAUUUAUUUUUUGAGUAGUAAGAGACAAAAAAAUUUGUUUUAGGAGUUUAUUUUGUUUUACGCAUUAAGGUUACUCUUUGUAAUUUAGAAUACUACCAUUCAUUAUUAUUUAAAAUACAAUUGAAUAAAUUACUAAUUGGUUACAUUUAGAAUUUCGUUAGUUAAUACCUCAAAAAAGUAGGAUGUUACAAUAACAAUCAAGAAAACCAUUUCAAGAAAUGUCGUUCAUUUUCAUUAAAUUUUUAAAGAACUUUUAAAUAUUGUUUCACGGACGUACGAGUAGUUUGUCUCACCUCAUGUUAUCAUUUAAACAAAAAGAUUCAGCAAGAUCAACACUUUAUAUUUAUUUAGAUUUUAAUUGGAACUCUUUUGGCUAUUUACAAGUAUUUUACAAAUGAAAUCUCUUCUUUUAUCACAUCAAUAUCAUUUUUCUCAAUGCGGAAAUGUGUUGUUCUGUUUUUCUACUUGGUUAAUUAUUUUUUCACUAUUUUUUUUAAAACAACUUUGCAUUUCAUUUUGUUUUCUCUAUUUCAUUUUUAACUAUGUGAUUGCAAUUAAAUAAAUUUAAAAUCUAUUAAAUUACUUUUAGAGAUUAUUGAUUCUAUUUCUAAAAUUUAAAAUUAAGCAAGAGAAAAUACUGGUACUUAAAUCAUAACUUAAAUAAUAAAUGCUGAAAUUGUUUGACAUCUUACUUUUAAGUUUAGAGACCAAUUUAAAGAUAUUAUAUUACUAAACUAAAGAAACAUCUUGUUGAGUUAAGUGAUUUUAUUUUGACUCAAGUGGAGUUAAGUUAAGCAUCCUAUUCUUGUUUCCCAGUCACUACUUGAGAGUUGCGACCACACAAACCUUAUCUUUUGUCUGGACUGUGUUCACACGUGCUAACCAAGAGUGACACAACAUAGACUACAUCGAACACUACCACUUACUGGAACUGAUGGUCAGAUUAGGCUAAAUUGUAGGGUCAUCAAUACUACUCCAUCAAAGACUACCACUACUACUUAAUUAUUUAUUAAUCACCAUACUAAAUAAUUGCUCAUGUCACAUGUGUGUAUUAUUAUAAUUCUUUCAAUUAAUAAUAAAAUUGUCAUAAGUGCAAAUUAGUCAAUCACCAUACUGAAAUUCAUUUCGUUAAUUUGCACCAAUACAACUUUUUUAUAAAAUAUGAUUUGUAUUGGACUAUGGUACUAGCUACUACAAAACUUGGAGUAUACUAUAUAUAUUUUGGUAUUAAUAAUAUUAUUACACAUGUGAACAGUCGAAGAUCCAAUACUAUUUUUUCUUGGUAAUCAUUUAUAAUAUCAAAAAAAUGAAUCUCGAUCCGUGGUUGGUUCCAUGUGCAAAAUGGAUCCUAUGUUUUGUAUGCGGUUAUGAAUUUGAAUUUUGUUAGAAGACUUUGCUUAGUUCCUGCAUGCCCGAAUCCCGAAGCAUAUUUGUUUAAUGAGUUAACUAUUCAAAUUGAUAUAUCAAAAUCUAAUUUCUUCAAACUCUUGUUUAACGUCAAUUGACCUAUUCAAUCUCAUUGCUAGUAUCACAAUGGUGAUACUAUUUCUUGCUUUUUUUUAGUGUAUAAGUGGGUCUCAAAGUUGCAUAUCAUUCAUUUUUAAGUUACAUAUUAUUUAAUUAUAAUUUUUGUAUAUUAGUAUUUGAAAAAAUUCUCAAUUCCUCAAAUCCAACACCUAAAAAUAGUUCACUCGAUAAGUCUCACCAAUAAUUCUUUAUAAUUACAUUUCAACAACACUUAAUAAACAUUUAUAUUUUUUCAUCUCUAAUAUGGAUAGUUAGCAUACACAAAUAUUCGGUGAUAUUUAGCAUACACAAAUAUAAAAAUCGACAAUAACCAGUUUAUCAGUUACUUUUUUUUUGUUUAUGGCUCCAGAUUUUGUGUAAAGCUCCAGAUUUUUUUUCAAUAAAAGCUCUAGAUUUGUUGUAAAAAAAUUUCAGCUUUUUAUUCUGUAAAAAAAAGUCUAGCUUUUAAUAUAUUUGCGACGAAAUGUAUAUUAAACGAAAUAAAUCAUGACCAAUGAUUACUAUAUAUUUAUAUUGGAGCCGAACAAAUAUUUAUAUACAGUGAUUAUUAAUUUACAUAUAUCUAAAAAAAAAUACACACCUUUUAAAUUAUAAAUGUGUAUAUUAACAAUUAUAUAUAUAUAUAUAUAUAUAUAUAUAUUAAAAAUUUCUUUUAUAUAUUAAAUAAAAAUAUGUUUUAAUAAAAAAUAUUAUUAAAAACAUAGAAAAAAGAAAGGCAUUGGCAUAUUCUGUGUUUUUUUUUUAACAGCAAUUUACGCUAGGUAUGAAGUUUUCUUUUGGUACAAAGCUGUUUUGAAUGAUGCUGAGCAGAAACAGAUCAAAGACUCUGCUGUUAACAACUGGCUUCAUGAUCUCAAAGAUGCUCUCUAUAUUGCUGAUGACCUUCUCGAUCACAUUUCCACCAAAUCUGCUACUACUCAGAAGAACAAAGAGGUGAGUACUACUGCUUCUAGCUACUUGUCUCGCUUUUUCAACUUUGAAGAAAGGGAUAUGGUUCGUAAGUUAGAAGAUAUAGUUACUAGGCUUGAAUCCAUUCUCAAACACAAAGAUAUUCUUGGUCUUCAACAUAUUGCAACUCACCACCACUCUUCUUGGAGAACUCCGUCAACCUCUCUAGAUCAUGGAUCUAACAUAUUUGGUAGAAAUCAAGACAUAGAGGCCAUACUCAACUUACUGUUACAUGAUGGUGAUGAUGUUGACAGUGAUAAGAUUUCUGUGAUCCCCAUAGUUGGCAUGGGUGGUGUGGGUAAAACCACUUUAGCCCAAUCUGUGUUCAACCAUCAAAGUAUAAAGCAGAAAUUCGAUGUUCAAGCAUGGGUUUGUGUUUCUGAUGCUUUUGAUGUUUUGAAGGUUACAAAGGCCACUGCAGAGGAGGUUAAAAGUGCUUCUAACACAAAUAAUUUGAAUAUUCUUCAGCAAGAUUUGAAGGAUAAGUUGACCGGAAAAAAGUUCUUAAUUGUUCUGGAUGAUGUNNNNNNNNNNNNNNNNNNNNNNNNNNNNNNNNNNNNNNNNNNNNNNNNNNNNNNCGUAUUCAAAAGGUUGUUUCUAUGGUCCAAACUUUUCAAGGUUACUACUCUCUCGAGCAAUUGUCUAAUGAUGAUUGUUGGUCAGUGUUUGCUAACCAUGCAUGCCUUUCUCCAGAAGAAUCCACUCAGAAUAUGGAUCUCGAAAAAAUUGGCAAAGAGAUUGUUAGAAAAUGUAAGGGAUUGCCUUUAGCAGCACAAUCACUUGGGGGUUUGUUGCGACGAAAACGUGACAUCAGGGAUUGGAAUAAUAUACUCAAUAGUAAUAUUUGGGAAAUUGAUGAAAAGGAGAGUAAGAUCAUUCCAGCACUAAGAAUUAGUUAUCAUUAUCUCCCUCCCUAUUUGAAACGCUGCUUUGUUUAUUGCUCGUUGUAUCCUAAAGAUUAUGAAUUUCAUGCAGACGAUUUGAUCUUGUUGUGGAUGGCAGAAGAUCUUUUACAGCCUCCAAAAAAUGGAAAGACUUUGGAAGAAGUUGGUUAUGAGUAUUUUAAUGACUUAGCUUCAAGAUCUUUUUUUCAACGUUUUGGAAGUGGAAACAGCUCCCGGCGUUUUGUGAUGCAUGAUCUGGUGCAUGAUUUGGCAACAUUGAUCGGGGCAGAAUUCUACUUUAGAACAGAAGAACUUGGGAAAGAAACGAAGAUCGGUAACAAGACUCGUCAUUUAUCAUUUAACAAUUUAAGUAAUCGAGUGACGGAUAACUUUGAGAUUUUUGACCGAGCAAAACAUCUUAGGACUUUUUUGACAAUUGAUUUUAUACGUGAUCCAUUCAACAAUGAAAAGGCACCAUGCAUCAUUUUGUCGAAUUUGAAGUGCUUGAGAGUUUUGUCAUUUAAAAUUUUUCAUGAUAUUAGUGCAUUGCCUGACUCGAUAGGUGAACUGAUUCAUUUGCGUUAUUUGGAUCUAUCUUCCACAACUAUAAAGACACUACCGGAGUCAUUGUGUAAUCUGCAUAAUCUACAAACCUUGAAGUUGUACGGUUGUAAUCAGCUAACCAAACUUCCCAAUGGCAUGCAAAAGCUUGUGAAUUUGCGCUAUCUUGAUAUCCGCUGGACUCCAAAGUUAGAAGAUAUGCCUAAAGAAAUGAGCAAAUUAAAGCAUUUGCAACACUUGAGUUGCUUUGUUGUGGGCAAGCAUAAAGAGAAAGGGAUCAAGGAUCUGGGAACACUGUCAAAUCUUCACGGAUCACUUUCCAUUAGUAAAUUAGAGAAUGUUAGCAACAACAUUGAAGCAUCACAAGCGAAAAUAAUGGAUAAGAAGUACCUUGAAAAAUUGUCUUUUGAAUGGUCUGAUAAUGCAAAAGACCAAUUUACAAAUUCACAGAGUGAGAUGGAUAUACUAGACAAGUUACAACCUGCCAAGAACCUAAAAAAGGUGUCUGUAUGGGGAUAUAGAGGCACGAGAUUUCCAGAAUGGGUUGGAGAUCCUUCCUACCGAAAUUUGACUAAGUUGUCUCUAUAUCGUUGUGAUAAUUGUUGUAUUCUUCCACCACUUGGUCAAUUACGCUCUCUCAAGAAAUUGAUAAUCUAUAGAAUGAGUAUGUUGGAGACUAUUGGAUCUGAAUACGGUGAUUCCUUUUCAGGGAUUCUCUUUCCCCUCCCUUGAAUAUCUUGAAUUUGUUGACAUGCCAUGUUGGGAAGUGUGGCAUCAUCCCCAUCAGUCAAAUGCAUAUUUUCCUGUACUCAAGUCUCUUGUGAUUCGUCGUUGUCCCGUAUUGAGUGGAGAUUUGCCAUCUCAUCUUCCUGCUUUGGAAACAAUUGAGAUUUUCCAAUGCAGCCAACUUGCUUCGUCUCUCCCAAGUGCUCCUGCCAUCCGGAAAAUAGAGAUACGUGAAAGCAAUAAAGUAGCAUUGAGAGAGGUACCCAUUUCAUUGGAAGAGAUAGAAAUUGAUGGAAGAGGUGCACCGGAGUUCUUCUUUGAAGUCAUUGCCAUCACCCUACCAAUUUCCCUGAAAAUUGUAAAUAUUAAGAAUUGUUCGUCUGCGAUAUCGUUUCCGGGAGAUUGUUUACCCGCAUCCUUAAAGAGUUUGUCAAUCACAGAUUGUAGAAAUUUAGAUUUUCCAAAGCAAAAGCAGCAGCACGAGUCACUUCAAUGGUUGUAUAUAAGGAGUAGUUGUGAUUCUCUGACAACCCUCCCACUGGAGACCUUUCCCAACCUCAGUACUCUCAAGAUCAACCGGUGUGAAAAUCUAGAAUGUGUUUCUGCUUCAAAGACUCUUCAAAAUCUUAACCAUUUUCUCAUUAACAACUGCCCGAAAUUAGUUUCAUUUGCAAGAGAUGGAUUGUCUGCGCCCAACUUGAGAUCAAUGGGUAUCCACAAAUGUGUUAAUUUAAAGUCAUUGCCUUGUCAAGCAAAUACUCUUCUCCCGAAUUUAGAAGUGGUGCGUAUACGUGAUUGCCCAGAAAUGGAGACGUUUUGUGAAGGUGGUAUGCCGCUUAGCUUGAGAAGACUUGAUAUAGAGAAAUGUGAGAAGUUAAUGAGGAGCCCAUCUCUAAGUUUGCGUUGCUGCCUCCCUCCCUUACCUCUCUAUCGCUAACCUAUAUGUCAAGUUUGCACACGUUGGACUGCACGGAGCUUCUCCACCUCACGUCCCUCCAACACUUAGCAAUUUUUACUUGUUAC